UUAGUUUCUAAUUACUUAUGCCUCUUGCAAUAUCUAUCUUCCCUAUUUGGUGUGUCCUUGCAAGCCCAAUGCACUCCACAAAAAUUGACAUGCUUAUAGGAGGCAUUUCCAUCAUAACUAGUGCAAUCAUCAUUAACAUCAUGGAUAUUCAAAGAAUUUGUACUAACAACAUUGCAAUCAUGCUCAUCAUUCAAAGAUUUAGUGCCAAACAAUUUAGUGAUUUCUUCUUCUAGCACUUGAGCACAAUUAUCCAUUCCAUUAUACUCACGAAAGAUAUUAAAAAGGUGAAGCGUAUGUGACAAACUUAACUCCAUUUUUUUGUAAUUUUCUUUUAUAAACUAAACUAGUGCUAAAACAAGAAACAAAAAGAUUCGAUUGCAAGAUCUAAAGAUAUACCUUCAAGUGCUAACUUCCCCGGUAACGGCGCCAGAAAAGAGCUUGAUGUCUACUACACAACCUUCUUCUUGUAGACGUUGUUGGGCCUGCAAGUGCACAGGUUUGUAGGACAGUAGCAAAUUUCCCUCAAGUGGAUGACCUAAGGUUUAUCAAUCCGUAGGAGGCGUAGGAUGAAGAUGGUCUCUCUCAAACAACCCUGCAACCAAAUAACAAAGAGUCUCUUGUGUCCCCAACACACCCAAUACAAUGGUAAAUUGUAUAGGUGCACUAGUUCAGCUAAGAGAUGAAGAUACAAGUGCAAAAUAGAUAGUAGAUAAAGGUAUUUGUAAUCUGAAAUUGUAAAAACAGCAAGGUAACAAGUGGUAAAAGUGAGCGUAAACGGUAUUGCAAUGGUAGGAAACAAGGCCUAGGGUUCAUACUUUCGCUAGUGCAAGUUCUCUCAACAAUAAUAACAUAGAUAGAUCAUAUAACAAGCCCUCAACAUGCAACAAAGAGUCACUCCAAAGACACUAAUAGCGGAGAACAAAUGUAGAGAUUAUGGUAGGGUACGAAACCACCUCAAAGUUAUCCUUUCUGUUCGAUCUAUUCAAGAGUUCGUAAUAAAAUAACAUAAAGCUAUUCUUUCCGCUCAAUCCAUCAUAGACUUCAUACUAGAAUAACACCUUAAGACACAAAUCAACCAAAACCCUAAUGUCACCUAGAUACUCCAUUGUCACCUCAAGUAUCCGUGGGCAUGAUUAUACGAUAUGCAUCACACAAUCUCAGAUUCAUCCAACCAACAUAAAAGUACUUCAAAGAGUGCCCCAAAGCUACUACCGGAGAGUCAAGAAUGUGUGCCAAUCCCUAUGCAUAGGUUCCCAAUGUCACGAAACCCGCAAGUUGAUCACCAAAACAUACAUCAAGUGGCACAUGAUAUCCCAUUGUCACCACAGAUAAUCACGGCAAGACAUACAUCAAGUGUUCUCAGAAAAGACUCAAUCCGAUAAGAUAACUCCAAAGGGGAAACUCAAUUCAUCACAAGAGAGUAGAGGGGGAGAAACAUCAUAAGAUCCAACUACAAUAGCAAAGCUCGGGAUACAUCAAGAUCGUGCCAUAGAGGGAACACGAAAGAGAACACGAGAGAGAGAGAGAGAUAUCAAACACAUAGCUACUGGUACAUACCCUCAGCCCCGAGGGUGAACUACUCCCUCCUCGUCAUGGAUAGCAUCGGGAUGAUGAAGAUGGCCACCGGUGAUGGGAUCCCCCUCAGGCAGGGUGCCGGAACAGGGGCCCAAUUGGUUUUUGGUGGCUACAAAGGCUUGCGGUGGCGGAACUUCUGAUCUAGGUUCUGUUCUGGAAGUUUUAGGGUACAAGAGCAUAUAUGGGUGCAGGGGGUACGUCGGUGGAGCUACGGGGGCCCCACAAGGCAGGGGGCGCGCCCAGGGGGGCCUCCACCCUCGUGGGCAGCCCGUAUCUCCCCUGACGUGCACUCCAAGUUCCCUAGGUUUCUUUCCUUCCAAAAAUAACUUCUCCAGUUGAUUUCAUUCCAUUUUGACUCCGUCUGAUAUUCCUUUUCCUCGAAACACUGAAAUAGUCAUAAAACAGCAAAUCUGGGCUGGGCCUCCGGUUAAUAGGUUAGUCCCAAAAAUAAUAUAAAAGUGGAAAAUAAAGCCAAAUAUUUCCUAAAACAGUAGAUAAAGUAGCAUGGAGCAAUCAAAAAUUAUAGAUACGUUGGAGACGUAUCAAGAAGUCGUUCUCUCCCCCAGACACCAACACACGAGCACAUUAACACCCUUCUCUCUUGUAAAGUUCGGACCCCAACAUAGGUCUCUAUCACUUUGUCUCCCGGGCAUGCACACAUCUCUUCCCUCACUCUCUAGGUCUCCCUCUAUCUCUCUUACCCAAGCACACACACUAUGUAGAGUGUAUAUUUCCCAUACACACAAAACGUCGCCCCCAAACGUCUAUCUCCCUAGUUAUGUGGUUCUCGCGCACACCUCACACACCACCCCCACUGCAAAGAAGCACACUUUGUCUCCCUGUGCACCACUCUCCUCUUUCUAUCUCUCCCACAUGCGGACCCGCCGUAGCUCCUUCCCUGUAUACAUAUAUGCCGUGACUCUUUGCAUAGCUCCCUAAUGUAUAAUCAUUCUCGAUUUCGCACACUGUUCUCUACAGCAUCUAUUCUAGAUCUCUCAUGAAGUCCCUAUCACACACACGAUGACUCGCUUCCCCUACGUCUCUGUUCAUAGGCCAAUUUCGGACAACAUCAACAUUCUCUCCCUAUCUAUACGCCAUUUAUGGACACAAACGACCCCUCUCGCCCCCUCUCUUCCUCUCUCUCUCUCUCUCUCUCUCUCUCUCUUCGCUAGCUCUCUCUUUCUCUCGCUCUCACACCCCUCUCCCACACACACUCGAUGUCUCUUCCAAAUAGUCUGCUCCCCCCGCCCGCACCCGUGCUAUCUCGCUACUACACAUGUCACACCAUUCCCCCUUCCCUUAUACUAGCUUUACAUCAUCAGUGGUCUCUCUACUCCACAUACACUCUCUCCCUGUCACACACAAACGCGUGCACAAACACACACAGACACGCACAAACACCCAUUUAUUUGGAUCCUCAUCUCUCCCCAUUUCCGCAUGUGUAUAUCACACACUCACUCUCUAAUUAUGUAUAUGUGUCUCCACGUUACACAACACAAAGCCCCAUGUACAUGUCUCUCUCUAUCCUCCACACACAUAGACACAAAGAAUCUGUUAUCAUUGCCUCCGUCUCUAACAUAUCGCACACGCACACUCUCUCUCUCUCUCUCUCUCUCUCUCUCGCAAACACGCUCAACAAGGGUUUCCCCGAGAAUAACUUACCGUCUACUCAUCAACAGUCGUGGCAGUACGGCGAACACGAGACGUGAAAAAGAAUAAAUCUACACGUGCUUAGACCACCUAGUAGGACUAGAGCAUGCCAAAAAGAGCGCCGCCGUCACCCCUCCUUGUCGGCGACGGGAAAAUCUUUCUUUUACACAGUCGAGAAGUCAUUGUGCUAAGGCCCCACAUGCCGAGGCGUUGAAUAGAAUGUAGAUGCUAGUUUACGGAAGCAAGUAUCGAUAAUACGUUUGUAUCUCCAUACUUAUAUUUCUUCUUUUAUAAAAAGCCGAGUUGGUGAUGAUGGUACGUGUGCCAUCUUGCAAUAUAGACCGUCUGAUCUAUAUCUGACGGAUGGAAAUUAAACUAAAAGAUACCCGCACCCCUCUCCACAUUUGCAGACAAGUCCUUCCCUCGUUCAUCCUUAUCUCCAACAAACCUCAUUGUUGAGCAAUUAAGAAAGGAAGCCUCUGGAACAAACUGGCCUAGUGGCCGCUGCCGGCGUCGUCAAUCCCCAUGCCUCCGCUCAGUCCGACCACCAACCACCACCACACCCAACUCCUCUUCACCUUAUCUCAUAUUUCUCGAGAUAUCAUUAGUUUUUACACAUGGGAUUACUCCCGCAAGGGUCAAUCACCACAACUGUUUUUAUAAAAAAAUGCAUCUUGAUGUUUCGUUAAUGCACGGAUCUUGCUAGUACUCCUACACAAGACUAAGUUGGUGAUGCUGGUGUGUCUGCCAUCCGUCAUUUCUGACCAUUAGAUCUACAUCUAAUGAUUGUGAGGUAAGUUGUUGCCUUUUCUCACCAACAUCCCACUUGUCUACCAAUUUGCAGAAAAACCCAUAAUUAGUAUCUUAAAACCAACCACAUCCCUCCCUGACCUCACCAAAAUAGCCCAAGGAAUAUAUUAUAAUUGAAACAUAUACAUAUGUAUAUCAAAAUUAGGGUGUUUUGUACCAAGUUUGUGAAUAAGUAUUAUUCUAAUUAUGAUUCGUUGCAACGGACAUGAACAUUGCUAGUAUUUCCAACCAUGUAUUUUUUUUCUAGUAUUCCAUAGUUUUGAGUUUUCCAUCAAGAUAUUAGUCACUCAUGGUUGAUAUUUACUUUCAAUCAUGUACACAUAUGCACUAUGUAACUAGCCUUGCUUAUUGGCUUCUAAAGCUUAACUUUCACUCCUACUUACAAUAUGUAGAGUAUUUAACAAAAAACUACCACUUUCAACCAGCCCUAGGAAGAAUCUAUUGUACAAAAAAUAGCAAAAACAUACCCAAAAUUUCUUAGUCCACGCCAAAAACUUCUAGUACUACCUAGUACUCCUACCGAUUAGGUUCGUUUAAACCCAUUUAUGACUGGGUUGGCCCACACGUCCGUGCUAACGAGGAAGCUUAAACCAACACAUUUUGUUUGACUGUUGACACGAGGGACCCACAUCUGACCUUCAAUCCUGUUAUUCCCCCUCAAAUCAUUAUUUUUCCUGAACAUUACUUCAAACAGUACUGAUGCGUGUUCGUCGGUGGCGCCGGUGAUGAGCGAGUUGGCCGCCGCUCCGCCGGACGGGCCGGACGCCGUGCUGGCCUCCGCACGGGUUGGCAGGCUGGCCCGAUCGUGACUCACAAGCGAGCAAGCCGCCGCGCUGGCCUUCGCUCGAGCCAGAUGGCUGGCCCGAGCGCGGCGCGCGCGCGCAAGCCGCCGCACUGCCAUGCCAAUCUAGCUAGCAAACCUUGCAGACAAGCAGCUGGACGGAGCUAUCUUGGCUAGCUAGUGGCCGCAAGCGUCGGACGGAGCUGGCAUCCGGGCUGCCGCAACAUGGGCUCCGCACCGCCGGCGGUUUUGACCUCGCCUUCUGCCGGCGGCGGUAGCUGCGUCCCAUGGCCGAGGAUGACUAGGUGGACGGGCCGGAGGUAGGAGGUCACUCGAGGAUUUUGGUUGGUAAGAGCAUGUACAAUGGUUGAUAAGGUAUUCUUAUCUUAAGUCUGCCACGUAUGCAAGUGGUAGUAGUUUCUUGGCAUUUUAGUGGUUUCUUGCAUUACUAGGGGUUUCUUGUAAGGAACAAUGUACAUACUACUAGCGACAAAAGGCAAUUCUAGGUUGCGUUGUACUCCAACGAGUACUACUAGUGGUCGCGGGAGUGUAUACCUCGUUUUGUGGGUUCAAUCUCGGUUGAAUGCACGGCGGCCUUUAAAAAAAAUAGUACUAGUACAACACUUUGCUGCGAGCCAAUAUUUUACACGGGUAGUUUGAGUUUUGAAGUCAAACGGACGUGCGGCCCCACAAUCUGGGUGCACUGGACAGCCUAGCCACGUGAAUGGGUUUUCCUUCCCAGCAUCCCGUGGCUCGCGUGCUUGCCCUAGCCGCUCCUCGCUUGCAGCUUCCUCAUCAGCUAGUAGUAGCAUAUUAAAACUAGCGCCUCCCAAUUAAGCCCGAGGAGCCGGAAAAGCCUGGCGGGGCAUUGGGAACUGUGCAAUAUGGCUCUGUACUCUAUGUAAAGUGUUGUACUACUAGUACUCUAUAGCUUGUGGUGUUGCACGCAUGGACUUCACUCCAUUAUCGGCUCUACUAUAAAAGAAAUUCCUCUUGACGUGUUUUUUAUUUGAAAUGGAGGCAAAAGCUUUGCUUCAUCUCAUUCAUAAAGAAGGAACUACUAACAAAGUUCGACGAGAUCCAUUACACCUCCACAAAUGGAAGCGAAAAGCCUAGUCUCGCUGUAUCAAAUAACUCAAAUGUUCUGCCCCCGUAGACCAUAGUAACUGUCGUUGAUAAACAGGCUACUAGUGUGUGCGUGAGACGAGCGACUGAGUAGGCCAGCUGCUCCUAUGUGAGAGGAGCGGCUGAAUAUAGCACCGAGAGUACCCACUAGGCCACUACGCAGGUGUACUUCCCCUGCAUUGAUAGUACAGCGAUGGUUCUACAGAACAGUAGUACCCUCCACUUCCAAUUGUAGCUCCUUGGCCCUGAGAUUCAAGAGUUCAAAACUGGUGCACUAUACUAGACUAGACUAGACUAGAAGUAUAGUACAUCGCACUAAUACUCGUAGUUGAGAAAAGUAGUACUGGUACUGCUACAGUACGAGUACGUACUCCUCCGUCACAUAAUGUAAGACGUUUUUGACACUAGUUGGCGUGUACAGAAAAUGGCAAAAACAUACCCAAAAUUUCUUAAUCCACGCCAAAAACUACUAUAUAGUGCCAAAAAUUUCUUACUAGUGCUAUUAUUUACAGGAUAAUGCAAUCCCAUAACGUUCCAUAAUGCUAGUACUAGUAGUAAAUAAUAGCCUCACCCCUUCGCUGAGGAACGAUCUACAGUUGGAAGGGACGAGGCCCUGCGGUUACUACGCUCUUAUCUCCUCCUCACCAGUUCCCCUCCCCCCGAAGAGAAGGCCGUUCGUCGCUGCUCCCAUGGAUUCGCCAGGCGGUUCUCCUCCUCGUCGGGGCUAGGAGACCUUGGACGACGAUCCUCUGGGAGAAAUCCCACGCCGCUACGACGUCCUCACCGCCACAAGACUCGAUGCUUCCUGCGCCAACUUUUUCAAGAUGCUGCUUAAACAGGUUUGGGAAAAGGCCAUGCUUGUUGGUCUUCCAUGCGUCUUCGAGGAGAAGGUUCUUCUAUGGGACAAUCCUUCGAACAGUCCACCGCUCCCUGGCCAUGGUUGCACGUUGACUCCGAUAGAGUUGCCGACGUUGAGAGGUAGUCGGAUUUUUUCCGAUGAGCAGGUCAGUAAUGGAGUUUGAUCAUGUAGUACUUAGUUAUUCCAUUUCCAUCCCGUAAUUUCUCCGCUGCCCACCGUCUUAUAUAUAGGUCUGGGUCGGUGCCAACGAAGAUUGGCUUGCAUACCUCCGGCCGGAUACCACCAUCAUUUUGUAAAACAUCCACAACAGUGUGGCCGUUCCGGUAGACCCCUUCUCCACCAUUGGGAUCGGCCUUCCGGACUGGCUGGGCUUGAAUACGUAUGAUGAUGCCUACAUGAGAUUGAAGAAGAUAGCAAUUGCGGACCCGCCGACAAAGCGACGCGGCUACGACGAUUACUAUCUCAUCGCGGUGUUCGACAUAAGGAUUGCCAUCAAUGCAAGACGCAGUAACGGCAGAGGCUGGCGCAUGUUGGCAGCGGCAGAUUUGUACCCCUACACGUUCGAAGACGCCGUGCGCCAUCUAGGCCGCAUCUUCGCGGUGACAAGCCAGGGGACUUGUUUCAUCUGGUUGCCAUCCUACGGUACGGGAGAUUACAAACGGAAUGCACAAACCAUCAUUUACAUCCCUAACGGUACUCCAUUGUUUUGCAGGGACCAGUCAUCCCCCGAUCAAAAUAAGAUCGCCGAUCCUGGAUGCGCAUUUGCAUCCGCGAUUCGGUCUAACUUGGAACCUUGUAGCUGACUUUGGCAUAUUGGGAUCAAUUAUCUUAGCAGUCGUUACCCAUGGUAUCACUGAUGUGCAACAUGGUCACACAAUCUACCACGAUCGGACCGUCACCAUCUACCCAGGUAUUCCAUUUUUUAACCCUCUCGCCUUCUCUUUCAUUGUUGUACUAGUAGUAUACUUAGUACUACUAGUAGGAGUACUUUUUACCUUGGAGGACGCGUAUAGCUAGCUGGGCCCUUGAAGACUUGAACCCACUAGCUGCCACCAUUUUUGUUUUUCCAUGUCUUACUAUCUCAUCCAUGUAGCCAAGCGUGGCUAUAUAUAAUAAGCCGGUUAUUUUACUUCCUCUAUACCGGAGUAGUACUAUUUGCUGCACAGUAUUACUGACCGCCAUAUUUGAGCACAACAUUAUUAUGCAUGGACCUUGACAAUGUACGUCACCAUGUGUCCAGAUCUGGGAUGCCGCGUGUACCAGAUGAAUGGCGCCGAGUUCGACCCCCGUGAUGCUACGUGGGUGCCGAGGAACACUCUCGGAGAGUACUCGCUUUUCAUCGGGGACAGCUACCCCAUUGUGAAGCGGAUGCCACCUUCUGGGCACGACAUGGAAGGCCUGACGUUCAUGAAGCAUGGUUGUGUCUUCAUUGCGCACCGCUAGAUGAACGACAUGCUGGGACACGCUAUCCCUAAUUUAUGCCACUUCAGCUCGGAUGAGUCUCCAUCGUGUGGAACCGGACUAGAAAGCUGCGACAAUGAUUCUUGUUGCCCACCGCUAUGGAUCGUGCCAUCCAUGAAGAACACCUGGGACUGGAACCUGGAGGAGGACAUGCAUGUAGCCCAUCUAUAAUGUGUAAGUGGAGUACGGUAAUUGUGAACGGUAGCGCUGUGAAUAUAUGUAGACUAGUCGUGCACAAAUUUAUCACAUGAAUUGGAGAUGAACUUGUGUGGCAUACUGGCAUUUGUCCUUAAGAAUUUAUUACUAGUAAAUGUGUUAUGUGUACGUGCAACUUGUGUGGUUGUUGCACGGGCUCCAACAUGCUCUUUGAGAAAAAAAGGUGGCACAGCUUUGGAUAUACGUGACGUGGAGGCAUCAUAUAGUAGCAUCGUUCGCUAUAGUUGUAGUACACUCCUACUAGGACAACAACUCCUAUAAAACCUUGCGCUUGGCUCUUUGCCUCUUCGGGAGGUUCGACAGUUUGUACUCGUGUGAACCUUGCACUUGCCUCUUCGCCUCUUCGGAAGGUCCAACAAUGAUGAUACUAUAGUACAAUAUGCGUCUGGCAAUCUGACACCGAUUGAACUGCUGCACGUCCACCGCGAGGGCGAGGGCGAGGGAGAGGAAGAGGGAGAGGGCGCUGUAGUCAAAACCCUCUCCUCGUCCUGCGAACCACCGCGCGCAUGGGCGAGGGAGAGGCGUAGUAAGCAAGCUUCUCCUUGUUCGGCGAGUUAACGGGACACGUCAAAGGAGUACUAGUACUAGUAGUAGUCCAUACUGCGUCCUUUCUGAUUAAUAUGGCUUAAUUUGAAACGAGAAAAUACACUGGCGGUCCACGUAUGUAACAAUACGCUCUUUACGGUAACUAUAUAUAGUUUUGCGUCGAUUAUACGAUCACUAGCUCAUCGUAGAGCACCGUAUUGCACCCUACUAACCGGCCACAUAGUCGACGUGGCACUUUGUUGACUGGUUAAAUUCUCACCUGGCUUCUGGGUCCCACCUGUCAGUUGGCGGAGCAAAUAAAUCAGUUAAACAAAACUUAAAGCAGGCGCCACAUGAUUCCAACCCUUGCGUCUGAACUGCCCUGGCUGUGUAUGUGAGUGCAUGCACGUGUCCUCCCUCGGCCUUCCACCAAAGAGUGUACAUCGGCUAUAAAACAAAGAGUGUAGUAGUACAUGAUGUACAUCUACACUUCCAAUGCAUUUAGCCUUUAAUCUAAAUCGAUAUUGAUUGACUAAUGCACCAACUUGUGCUAUAGGUAUAGGCUACAUGUCUAUCCUUAAUUACAGCAUGCAACGGCCUUCAUUUAAUCUUCUUAUCUCAAUGGUCGCAUGCACACAUAAGUCUGCUACUUUUGGGCGUUAAUUAUACCCUGGUCAAUGUGUAAAUCUCUAAAUGUACAGUCUUUCACGGACGUAGGGAGUAGGUUGAGCACUUGAGCAUGAGCGUGUGUGUUGCGUUGUGUGCUGUGUGCCGCAUGGGUGCGUGAGUGUUGCGUGCGUCCAUGUGGAGUACGUGUGAGUGUUUCAUGUUGCAUGGAUGCAUGCAUGCAUGCAUGGGGCUUACUCCCUCCCAUUGACAUGUUCAUAUUUCAAACUUCCUCUGUUCCCUCCAUAUGGUGAUACUCCCUCUGUUCCCAAAUACUCCAGUACGGAGUAAAAGCCUCCCUCUGUUCCCAAAUACGGAGUAUUUGUCUUUCUACAGAUUUCAACAAGUGACUAGGUACGGAGCAAAAUGAGUGAAGUGAGCGUAGAGGCAUAGGGAUACUUUAGAAAGGUGAUCCUCGCGAUCCAUCAUUCCCCAUCUCAGUCAGAGAGAACUAUUCAACUAGUCUUCACAGUGAAAUGACAAUACACGCUGCAGCAGAUGGGACAUGUAAUUAAUAAGCUGAACCAGCAUGUUGGUGUUACUAAAUCAGCCUUACCCAGUACUGCCAUCAUGUUUGCCAGUAGAGCACGCUUCCGCAAAUACGCCUACGCACCUGUGUCCUCCAUUAACUGACAUAUGGGCCCUCUUGUGGUAGACCCACAUGUCAUCGGUGUAACUAUUUACACUCCGGAGGACGGUGCCUAUAUCUUGGUAGUAGUACUAGUAGAAUUGAGAUUUAAUGCACUUUCUUCCCCGUCUUCCACUCUUCUUCCUCCUCUCUUCUUCUUCCUCCUCUCUUCCCCAUCGUGGGCCGCACACCAUUUACCGCCGCUCACUGCUCGCCCGCCCGCGCCAUCUUCCUUGGUAGCUCGCGCGUACCAUAUCCCCCCGCUCACUGCUCGGUCACACGAGGAGAAGCUUCUUCGCUCGCCCGCCCGAAUCCACUUCCCCGCUGGCUCGCAGGCACCGAAAACCCAAUGGCAGAACCGACUGACACGCAGAGCCGCGGUUGGAAUUCCCUCCCCGAUGUUCUCUUGGAGCAGAUCUGUAGUCGUAUGGACCUACUCAGCACCGUCCGUCUGCCCGCAUGCUCGGUGUCUUUGUACCGUCUACUCAUCUGCAACCUGCCGGAUCUUUUCAAGACACCCUGCUUGCUGAUGCCCGAUCCUUGCAGGUGGCCCAGACACCGACUUGACGAUCCUACGGAGGUUGCCGUGGUGCCCCUCGACAUGCUACCACUACCCGUCCACAUGUCCUUCAUACGCGGCCACUACUGGGCGGGCAUGAAGGCCAACUGGAUCGUCCUCAUCCACCACACCAGUAGUUCGUGGCGUCUCGUGGAUAUCUACACCCAGCGAGAGAUCACCCUUCCAUCGUUGGAUACCGCCGACAUCGAACCUCGCGGCCCGCCGGACACUCGUGCCUACUACGCACGAGACGCGUCAAGCUUUUGGCUUGACCUCUGUUUCCAGAAAGUUGUAAUCUGCGAAGUGCCCACACCAUUAGAAGACUACAUGGAUUACAAGCUCAUUGCCUUGUUCAACAUGGGAUUAGUCUAUCUGGAAUCCGGUCGCCAUACAUGGUUAUGGCUCAUCAUCAAUCUUGUUGAGGCAACAUUUCUGUCUGAUGCUAUAGUGCAUGAUGGCAUCGUUUACGCGGUCGACGCACAGAUUGGCUGCCUAUACUGGUGGAAUCUAUCAUCGUGUAAUUUUUCUAUCUCAUCUCAUCUUUACCUUAUGAAUAUGACUGCCUAUUCAUUUGUUACAAAUUUAGAAUGCAUAGCAUGUCUAUAACCACAUCAUUGCUAUAUGUUCCUCUCAUUUUCUAGAUUUUUAUGACCACACAUGUUAUUGUUAGAGUUGAUAUGAGAACAAUUGGCAUCUAAUGAUUGUUAGAAUACAUAUUAUGAGCAUAACAUCAUGAUUGCUAUAUGUUACUCUCGUUUACUAGAUUUUUAUAACAACGCAUGUUAUUGCUUAGAGUUGAUAUGAGAAUAGUAGUAGUAAGUGCUAUGGUAGAAUAUGAGUAGGCGCUAUCAUAGCUGUUUUCCUCUCAUUGUUACAUGAUGUUUGAACCGACAUGUUGCUAGAAUAUGAAAGCCAUGGCUUAUUUUUUUAACUUGGGGUAUGAUUAUGACCACGGCAUUGCAAUUUUCUGUCUAUGAUAUGUGUCACUGUUAUAAUAAUCUUAAUUCCACACAUACUUUGAACAUGAUUGUUUAUUUUUGUCCUUUUGGUCUCAAAUUUGAAUUGUUGCAGCAGACGCAAAUGCGCUGGCCUUCAUGAUUCCACGACCUGGAAUCAUACCAACCGAUGGGUGCUGGUUUAUCGCUCGUUCAGCUGACGGCGGUCAUUUGAUGCUCAUUUGCACAUACCAAAUUCACCAAACCAUUACAUCAAACCACAUGCAGUACAAUGCAUGGGGCGUUCUUGACAUUGAUGGCUAUGGCUGCUUCAUGUUCGAGAAAGAUCCCAGCUCCGUUGGGCCAGGCGUAUUCAACUGGAGGUGGGUUUACAGCCUUGGCAACCACUCCUUGUUCCUCGGGCUCAAUUAUCCGAUCAUCCAACCAAUCAUCGAUCAUAUCAUCGGCGAUGAUUACUGUGCUAUGCAACUUCCAUUCGCGAGGGGGGCUGUGUUUACACAUCAUACCAUGGGUUUCAUGAAUCACCAUAUCCAGAGAUUCGUCAACACAACUUGUUGCCAGGUAAUCUUCAGUGUGUGAAAGGCAUCAAGCUUCCAUGCGAUGGAUGGCUUUUGCAAACCCGACAUGCGAUGAUGUGGUUCAUGCCAACAGCAAAUAUGCACAACUUGAUUCGUGCUGAUAUCUAGACUGAGCCAUGUAUUUUGCUGCUGUAGCACGACCCUCUUUUGUUGAAUAUUAUGUACUGUUGUUAGUUUGAAGCACUCCUCUGGUUUGAAGGAUAGAUACCUUCCUGGGAUCAAGUGCAUCCUAACUCACCUGCGUAGGAUGUACUGAUAAUGAUGAUGGAGAUGCUCUGCAGAAGCCAUAUAUAUACAUGUAUAUAAGUUAGGCUUCAAGUGCGUACUUGUUAGUUAAACCUAUGUAUAAAUUGUGACACUAAAUACGACUAGUAAGUAGUACAGUGGCAGUACUAGUAUACAUCGGUCAAAUUAUUCAUCAUGUCCACACAUUGAAUUGACGUGACAACACGCUGCGCGUGAGGUGACACAAGAAUCCCGGUGGCGUGUUCGGGUAUUCUGGACUUCAGAUUUGGAGUACCACUUAUCUGUCGAAAUCUUUUUUUUCGAAAUGGAGGCAAAAGAUUUGCCUCAUCCAUUAAAUAAGAGGAGAAUAGAGUUUAGAGUUUUUACAAGCGCCCUUGCAAGACGGCAUGGCAAUUACUCUCGUACAACUGUGGAAGAAGCAUAAGUUUUUACUCUGUCGAAAUCUUUCAUCAUUCACUUAAAACAGUCGAUUGGUCAUACAUUGAGUACCAUAUAACUGGAAUUACCGAUGCAAGUCGAAGAAGGAUUGGUCGGUGCUGCCGGCUGGCGUCAAGUUCGAUCCCACGGAUCAGGAGCUGAUCGAGCACCUUGAGGCCAAAGUGAGUGUUGACAGCGCGAAAUUUCAGUCUCUCAUCGAUUUGUUCAUACCAACAAUCGACAGUGAGCACGGCAUAUGCUACACCCAACUUGAGAAACUUCCAGUUAAGACACUGAUCAAUCGUCUACUUGCACAAACAUAUUCCUUUGUUUAUAGCUCUAUUUUUCUUUUUAGACGCGGACAUGGUGAAACUAUUACAAUUUGACAGUUAAUAAAAAGUGAAACAAGUGACUGCAACAUGCCAAAGAUGUUAUGAAAAUGCCAACUAGGUACACUAAAACCUGUAUUCCACAAUACUGGAGGUAUCACACUGAGUGGACUAAGGAAGCAUUUCUUCCAGCGCAAUUCUAGGGCGUUCAAAAGGGGCACGUGGACGUGUCGCAAGAUACAAUCGGAGUGCGGCACGCACGCGAUGUGGCACAAGACCGGCAAUACCUUGCCUGUGAUGGUCAACGACUGGCAGACGGGCAGCGAAAAAGGUUCUGGUGUUGCACACCAACAAGAACUUCGACCAGCAGAGGACCAACUGGGUGAUGCACCAGUACCACAUCGAGGACCUGGAGCAAGAGAAGGAGCGGGAGCUGGUCCUCUGCAAGAUUUUCUACCAGACGAACACUAGGGCCAGGAAUAGUUUGGUAUUGGUAGUUGUACUACCUUGUCGUCCGCAAGUUGGUAUUGUUGUUAACGAUCUUUUGGUAUGAACUUGCAUUUACUUCCAACCAUCAUGCCGAGGGUCGACGUGGAUAUAAAGCUGAAUCAUUUGUUUCGAAACGAAUUCUCAGGCACCUGAUUUUUAUUUGAUGCGUAGCAUAAGCACCCACCGUUCGAAUUCCCAGUUCUGCAGUUUUUUCGAAACAAGUGCAUGCACUUAUUAUCACGAUAAAAAAACAAUAUCUGUGCUGCCUCCCAGUUAUCAGUCUGUGCUUGCAGAAUUCUCUCGUUUAUUGAGCACGUAUAUUGUUUUGUCAGGUCGAGCAAGUUUCAACUGGGUUGUAGACUGACUAGGGUUGGUUUUGUUUUUAACAGGCCCAGCCCAUGACGACAACGGGGCACAAAGAUCCAGCAGGUAUCUACUGGCCUCUGGCCCGCCAGCGUUAGUUAUAUUUUGUCUUACAACAUCUGCAGGCAGUUUUGUUACUGAAUCAAACACACAGCCCAGUUCUAUUUUCCUCUUGAAACGCAUGUCCUACAUCCGUUUUCUAGUCUCUACCUAUAGUUUUACUAGUUCAUAUACACAUAUGAUUAUAUCGAAAGCACAUAAAAUUACCUUUUCAUAUUUACAUCCUUAUUUUUGUUGUUUUUUCCCACCCAGCGCUGAUUUUUUUACCACUGGUUUUCCCUUAAACCAACUCAAUUGUCCCACGUCUUAUUUGCUUACAAAAACAAAACGCUUUUUUUGGCAAAUCAAUAAGUUCUUAAAAAAUGUUUAUCAUUUCGGGAUUACAACAGUUUGGACUCCACCGAAAUAUGCAAAAUAAGGUUGAACUUUUUGACCGUGGUCCUGGGCAGAAAAUGGGCUGUAAUAAAUUACUUAAGAAUUACCAAAUGGGCUGCAAAUUAUAAAAAAUAGCAAAUGGGCUGCAAAUUGUAAAAAAUAGCAAAUGGGCUUUAUGUUGUCUGCCACAGAUUUGGAGGCUGACUUGUGGGCCUACUAAGUUCGUGCGUACACAAGGUUUCUUAAAAAAGAAACUUAGUCAACAAUCGACUCUACUAGCGUCAGACCGUUAGAUGUCAAUCUAACGGCAAUCGUGCUUCUUCAGUCUCUGAUCUUCCUGCCCCAACCCCCCAAACCAGCGCCGUCGGAACCGCCUGCUCCCGCCUCCCGUGUCCGGUAGUGCUGCCGGGCAGGCCUCACGGCCCCAUCAUACUCGCAUCCCUGGCCAGUCUAUCCCUCUACUCACCCACACCUCCUGUUAUUUUCCAGCGACGGCAGCCGAACCAGUCAACCCUCAUACUCUCCACCGCGUGGGCAGCCACUGCCGUGUCUUUGCCGGCUCCCUGUCGUUCCUUUCGUAGGUCUCACCGUCGUCCACCGCCCUGGUGCUCUCGGCGCGGCGUGGUCAACAAUGUCCAUCCAACGGCCGUAGUGCUUCUUCAACCUCUAGUCUUCUUGCCCCAGCCGCCCAAAGCAGUGCCGAUCGUGCCGCAUGCUCCUGCCUCCCGUGGCCGGCUGUGCUGCCGCGGAGGCCUCACCGUUCCCAUACUACUCCCACCGCUGGCCAGGCCAUCCCUCCACUCACCCACUCCUCCUGUUAUUCUGCGGCGACGGCAGCCUCACACCGCAGCCGAACCAGUGAACCCUCGUACUCCUCUCCGCGUGGUCAUCCACUGUCGUGUCUUCCCUGGCUCCGCGUCGUCCCCUUCCUAGGCCUCGCCGUCGUCCACCGCACUGGUGCUCUCGGUGCGACGUGGUUAAUGUGAUCAACGACCGACUUCCAUCGGAAGAGUACUGUACAUGGAGAGGCUGACAUCUGGGUCCACGGCAGCCGCAAGGAAGUGCCUCCUUAUUACGCGCAAAAUAAUUAUUCCUCCACCUGACAGCAGGGACCCACAGGACGGGCCACCAGUAUUUCGCGGAAAAAAUGUUUCCCCCUUGACUACUGUGACCCACCGGACGGGCCUCCGUAUUUCGUGAAAAAAACGUUUGCCCCUGACUGUUGGGACCCACCAGACGAACCACCGUAUUUCGCGAAAAAAACGUUCCCCCCGCUGUCAGCUCGGACCCACCGGAAGUGCCUCCUUAUUACGCACAGAAAAAUGAAUACUCCCCCUGCUAGCUAGGACCCACCAUGGUGGGAGGCUGACUUGUGGGCUUACUAAGUUGACGGGGACAGAGGGCUUUGUCAACUUAGUCAAUAUGAACGAUUCUAGCUCCAUUGACCGUACGAUGUCCAUCCAACGGCCGCCGUGCUUCUUAAAUCUAUGCUCUUCCUGCUCCAGCCGCUCAAACAAGCACUGGCGGGACUGCCUGCUCCCUCCUCCCCUCGGCCGGCUGUGCUGCCACACAGGCCUCACCGCCCCCCGUACUCCCAUCGCUGGCCUAGCCAUCCCUCUACUCACCCUCAUACAGUCGUACUCCCCUCCGCGUGGGAAACAACUGUCGAGUCUUCCCUGCCUCCGUGUCGUUCCCUUGCUAGGCCUCGCGGUCGUCCACCGCCCUAGUGCUCUCGGCGCGGCGUGGUCAAUGUGGUCAAGGAACAGCUUCCAUCGGACAUGGACUGUACGUGGAGAGGCUGACAGCUGGGUCCAUGGCCGCAGCAAGGAAGUGCCUCGUUAUUACACGCAAAAUAAUUAUUCCUCCACCUGACAUCUGGGACCCACCGGAAGGGCCUCUGUAUUUCGCGAAAAAAGUGCCCGAGCUGACAUGUCGGACCCACCAGCUAUCUUCGCACGCAAGGAAGUGCGUCCUUAUUACGCACAAAAAAAUGAAUACUCCCCCUGCCAGCUGGAACCCAGCAUAGUGGGAGGCUGACUUGUUGGCCUACCAAGUUGACAGAGACGGAGCUCUUUGUCAACUUAGUCAAUAUGAACGAUUCUAGCUCCUGUUACCGUACGAUGUUUAUCCAACGGCCGUAGUGCUUCUUCAACCUCUGGUCUUCUUGCUCCAGCCGCCCAAACUAGCGCCGGUCGUGCCGCGUGCUCCUGCCUCCCGUGGACGGCUGUGAUGCCGCGGAGUCCUCACCGCCCCUACUACUCCCACCGUUGUCCAGGCCAUCCCUCUACUCACCCACACCCCGUGUUAUUCUGCGGCGACAGCAGCCUCACACCGCAGCCAAACCAGUGAAUCCUCGUACUCCUCUUUGCGUGGGCAUCCACUGCUGCGUCUUCCCGGGCUCCGAGUCAUCCCCUUCCUAGGCCUCACCGUCGUCCACCGCCGUGGUGCUCUCGGUGCGGCGUGGUCAACGUGGUCAAGGAACGACUUCCAUCAGACGUGGACUGUACGUGGAGAGGCUGACAGCUGGGUCCACGGCCGCCGCAAGGAAGUGCCUCCUUAUUACACGCAAAAUAAUGAUUCCUCCACGUGACAGCGGGGACCCAUCGGACGGGCCACCGUAUUUCGUGAAAAAACGAUUCGCCCCCCUGACUACUGGGACCCACCAGCUACAUCUUCGCACACAAGGAAGUGCGUUCGAAAAAAAAUGAUUCGCCCCCCUGACUGCUGGGACCCACGAGCUACAUCUUCGCACGCAAGGAAGUGCCUGACAGUCGGGACCCACCUGGUCGAAGCGUACGUAGAGUUGUCAUUUUGGUCGCGAACAUGUACGUACAUACUGGUCGAUGUAGAGGCGCGCACAUGUCAUAGAUGUAGAUGCGUGCACGUGUCGUAGUAGAGGCGCGCGCGUAGCAUGUACACAUACGUACAGCGGCGAGGGUGCAAGAAAUAAAAUACGGUCACGUAUGUACAUACGGGCAGGGUCUCUAACGCCUAUCGCACAUAUAUACAUGGCUGGGUCGGAACGGAGAAACAACGUCGCCGUCGUGUUCAUGGGGAGCCAACCGGCUGGGUCGGAACGGAAUGCAUGGUCGUGUUCAUCGAGAGGGCUUGGACGGAACAGGCGAUGGAAACGAGGCCUGGCGUACCGCACAACGGAGGAAACGGCCUUGUGUUCGACCGGCCACGUUCGAAACGCGGUCCUAUUGAUCGAGAGGGGCCUGGCGUACCGCAAAACGGAGGAAACGGACCUCCUACGGUUGAAACGGGGGUCCUGUUGAUCGGGAGGGGUGUGGCGUACCGCAAAACGGACAAAACGGACCUCCUGCGGUCAAAACGGGGGUCCUGUUGAUCGGGAGGGGUGUGGCGUACCGCUAAACAGAUGAAACGGACUUGUGGUGGAGCGCUAUGGUCGAAAUGGGGGUCCUGUUCAUCGGGAGGGGUGUGGCGUACCGCAAAACGGACGAAACGGACUUGUGUUGGAGCGCUAGGUUGAAACGGGGAGGGGAGGGUGUGGCGUAACGCAAAACGGGACUCCACGGGAUACUGUUCAUCUCCACCGUCGACCUCCUCCAGCCUCCACGGGCUACCGUCGACCUCCUCCAGCCUCCACGGGCUCCUGUUCAUCCCGCCUCCACCGCGCGCUACNNNNNNNNNNNNNNNNNNNNNNNNNNNNNNNNNNNNNNNNNNNNNNNNNNNNNNNNNNNNNNNNNNNNNNNNNNNNNNNNNNNNNNNNNNNNNNNNNNNNNNNNNNNNNNNNNNNNNNNNNNNNNNNNNNNNNNNNNNNNNNNNNNNNNNNNNNNNNNNNNNNNNNNNNNNNNNNNNNNNNNNNNNNNNNNNNNNNNNNNNNNNNNNNNNNNNNNNNNNNNNNNNNNNNNNNNNNNNNNNNNNNNNNNNNNNNNNNNNNNNNNNNNNNNNNNNNNNNNNNNNNNNNNNNNNNNNNNNNNNNNNNNNNNNCUAUUCAUCCCAGAGGCAGCAUCGAUCGGCUUCAGUUAGCAGUAGUAGCGAAGGAAUCGCUCCAUCGGGUUCAGUUAACAGCCAUCGAUCGAUCGCUCGGGUUCAGUAACGCGUAGCCUGCAGUGCAAUCGCUCGGGUUCAGUUAGAGCCCAACGCCUCGCUCGGCUUCAGUUAGAGCCAAUGCCUCGAACACACGCGCGUACGUAUGAGGGAAACGCGCAUCGCUCCGCCCCCGACCUCCCACCGUAACCGGCAACUCCCCGAAAUUUUCCUCCCACUCGCUUCUACCACGGUUUUUUUCCGUCAUGGACGGCCCAAAGAAUGUCAUGCAGCUGCGUCUCCGGCCCGCCCAGGAUGAAAAGCCCAUUUUCUGUCAUGAUUUUUUGUCAUAGAAGUAGGAGCCCACCACAUCUAUGAAGAUACCGGGUUUUAUCACAAUUAUCAUCAUAGAAGUGUCAUAUGUAUGAUAGAAAAACAAUUCGUUCGGCCCAAAAUGUCACGAAUGUGUCUUUUUUUUGUAGUGCAUCUUUCUUAAUGCGUUACUCCGUUCUUAUGAACUUAAUACUCUAGAUGCAUGCUGGAUAAUGGUCGAUGUGUAAGUAAUAGUAGUAGAUGCAGGAAAGAGUCGGUCUACUUGUCGCAGACGUGGUGCCUAUAUACAUGAUCAUGCCUAGAUAUUCUCAUACUACAAGAAAUAUGUCAACUAGUGACCUUUUGUCAGUGAACCUGGAAGAAUUGGUCAUAAAUUUAUGACCAUUUUAGACCAAUAGGUCAAAAGCUAUUGGGGGGAUCCAAACCCUAACCUAUAACGACCAUUCUGGUCAGAAAGGUCAUAAUGUCAUUACAGGAAAUGGUCAUAAAGCGGGAAGCAUUGUCCACUGCCUCACGCCUAGCUGAUAACGACCAAUAUAACAUGGUCACUACACUUGAUUUUGAAUGAAUUAGGAUGAUUAGGCAGCCACCUUAGCAACCUCGCUUAUGUGUCUCUGUCUAGGUGUCAUUUUUGGUUAAAUAUUAAUAUUCAACAACAGAUGGGGCAUGCACUGACAUGCAGGACCCAUUUGAAAGGUGGGGCCGAGUGCUUAAUUCUCCCAAAAAAUGUGCGCUAGCGGGGACCCGAACCCACGACCUCGCGCUUGCUUCGCUCGCUUACUACCGCUGGGCUAGAGAGGGACAAUUGCUCAGGUAUGGGAACUUAUCUAUACAUUAUAUAAAACUAAGGCUCUCUCGUAUCAUUGACAAGUGGGACCUUCCGACCAGGUGGCGGCGGGUGGCAUCGAACAGAGCGGCGGGUGGAAGCAAGCAGCGUUUUUCUAGGUCUUCCGACCAGGUGGCGGCGGGUGGCGGCAGAAGCAAGCAACGGACGAGGGCGGGGCCGAUGGGCGGCGGGCGGCGGCCGGCGGGUGGGGCCGGUGGAAGAAGCAACCAGUAGGGGCCGCUCGCCUUGCCCACGACCUCGCUGCAGGUGACCUCACCCACGGCCUCGCGGAGGAAGCAACCAGCAGGGGUGGAGGCGGGGGCGGGGCCAGCAGUGGAAGUAACCAGUAGGGGCGGAGGUGAGGCAAAGGCGUGGAGGCGAAGCAGGGGCGUGGGCGACCGAUGGUGCUGGGGGCGCGGUCAGGAACAACGUCCUCGCCCACGCAAGGAGAGGCACGCCGAGCAUGGGGGACUCGCCGCCGCUGCAAGCAAACCUCCCGGUAUGCACCCCUCACCUCUUCCCCCAUCUCCUCUCUCACUAUCCGCACCUCGUCACCAAGCAUGGAUUUCAGUGGGAGAUGGAUUUCAGUCAGAUGUUCUUCAGCAUAGAUGAAUUUUGUUGAUGCACUGUUAGGAGUUAGGAGAUAGCUUGCUUGUUUGGUAGAUAUUGCAUAGAUGAAUUUUCUUGAUGUACUGUUAGGAGUUCUUCAUCUUGUUUGUUAAGAAUUCUUCAGGCCUUGUUCGGUUAAGAUUUGGGGGGAAUUUGGCUAGAUGGCCUCAGUUGUUCUUCAAUUGUUUCUCUAUAGAUUGUUAGGAUAAUAGUAAUUGUAAUUAACAGAAACAACAUAGUAUUUGUUAGGAGCUAGAUAGCUUGGUCUUCCUAGAAACAUGAUCCUUCUAAAUCUUGGUUUGGUUUAAUUUGAAUUAGUCUUCUCUGCAACAAAAAUUCAUGCCAAUUUCAGUGUUGGUUUGAUUUAUAGUUUGGUUUGUUUCAAUGUUUUGGUUAGGCAAUUAGCAUAUAAAAUUUUCUGGAAUUUUAGCUUCCAUUACUUCCAUCCAUUUUCGUUAAUUAAUGUUGAUGCACUUAGAUUGAUUUGCUAAGUUGCAACAAUUUGUUGUCUUUGGCAGAUGGACAGAAGCUGGAUUAGAAAAGGAGUUAGAAAGUUUUCAAAAGAACAUAUGAAAGGAGUUGAUGAUUUCAUGGCAUUUGUUCAGGAAAUUUUUGCCAACGAUGCUCACAUUGUUUGCCCAUGCUGCGAAUGCCUCAACCGUUCAAGAAUGGCUCAAGGAAGAGUGGAAGAUCAUCUGCUUCUUAAUGGGAUGUCCAGCACAUAUGAUAGAUGGAUAUCUCAUGGAGAACCUUUAGUCAGUCAACCUCAACAUUUUGAAGAUGAUAUAGAGACCCCUCAUAUGAUGGGUGGUGGUGAUGCUGGCAUUGAUUUCAUGGAAAAGGUUUUGCGAGAUAAUGUUGUUUUGGAGGAACAGGAUGGGCAUGAAGAUGAUAGGAUUCCUGACCUACCGAAGGAUUUGUACGAUGCUGAAGAUCAUGCUGAUGGACAGAAGCCAUUGUUUGCUGAGGUGUUAGAGGAGGAGAAGCGCGCAGCUCAUGAAGGGGGUAAAUUUUCAAGAUUUACCUUCACCGUGAAGUUACUCCACAUCAAGUCUUUCUACCGGAUUAGCAAUGCCACAUUCAACGCAAUACUCCGUCUUUUGAGCUUGCAAUUCCCUGAUAGUUGUGUUCCAAGAUCUUAUGAUGAAGCAUUGAGCAUAAUCAGCGGGCUGGGGUUAGGUUAUGUGUCAAUACAUGUGUGCCCAAAUAACUGUGUCUUGUUUUAGAAGGAUUUAGAAAAGCAUGACAACUAUCCAAAAUGCAAUGCAUCUAGGUGGAAAGAUGCUGAUGGGAAGAAGUCACUACCGAACAAAGUACUGAGGCACUUUCCCUUGAUACCAAGGCUGCAGCGGAUGUUCAUCUCGAAGAAAUCAUCGCGUGAGGUACAGCGGCACAAGCUGAAGCGGCAACCUAUGGACAAUGAGCUGAGCCAUCCAGCGGACGGAGAGGCAUGGAAAGAGUUUGACCGUAUACAUAUAGAUUUUGCUGCAGAUCCAAGGAACAUAAAACAUGGCAUUGCCACAGAUGGGUUUAAUCUGUUUGGGAACAUGAGCACGUCUUAUAGCAUGUGGCCAGUUUUUGUGGUGCCGUACAACCUGCCACCAUGGGCAUGCAUGGAUCAGUCCAACUUCAUGAUUUCAUUGCUUAUCCCGGGUCCAGAGUCUCCAGGAAAGGAUUUUGAUGUCUUUAUGGAGCCCCUCAUAGAAGAACUGCUCCAGCUCUAGACUGGUGUACCUACAUACGAUGCCUUGUGUCCGAAGAAAAGUUCAAUCUACGUGCUGCAAUCAUAUGGUCCAUCCAUGAUUUCCCGGCUCUGCACACUCUGUCUGGGAGGAUCACAGCGGGUUAUCGAGCUUGUGUCCAUUGUGACAAAGACCCUUGCUCAAAGAGAAUAAGGAGCAAGAUCUGCUAUAUUGGGCACCGCCGCUUUCUUCCCCGAAACCAUCACUGGCGAAGAAGCAAAGAUUUUAAUGGUGAGAAUGAAACCCGUGACAAGCCAGCUAAAUUCACUAAAGAAGAGCUAGAGCAGCAACUUGAAAAGGUGAAAGAUGUGAGACCAGGAAAGCUGGCGAAGAAAAGAAAGCAUGAGGAAGGUCAAUGUUGGGACCGGAGGUCUUGUUUGUGGGACCUGCCAUACUGGGCUGAUCUGAAAUUAAGGCAUAAUCUCGAUGUAAUGCACAUUGAGAAAAACAUAUGUGAGAAUCUGCUAGGGUCAUUUCUGAACAUUGAAGGGAAGACAAAGGACACGGUUAGUUCUAGGCUUGAUUUGGAGGACAUGGGCAUCAGAGAAGAUUUGCAUCUAUAGCAUAAUGAAGAUGAAGAUUCAUUUGAAAUGCCACGAGCAUGAUAUACAAUGAGUAAAGAACAAAAGCUUGCAUUCUGUGAAUUCCUAAGAGCGGUGAAAUUUCCAGAUGGUUAUGCUGCUAACCUAGCAAAGUGUGUUACUUCUGAUGGAUUCAAGCUUUCAGUACUGAAAACCCAUGAUUGUCACAUCCUCCUCCAAAGGAUUUUACCGGCGGACCUCCGAGGAAUCAUGGACAAGGAUAUAUAUGAAGCGGUUGCUGAGCUGGGAAAUUUCUUUAGAGAACUGUGCUGCAAAACACUGAAGUUAACUGUCCUGGAAAGACUUGAAAAAGAAAUCCUAAUUAUUCUUUGCAAGCUCGAGAAGAUUUUUCCUCCAGCUUUCUUCACCGUGAUGGUCCAUUUGGCGAUGCACUUACCAAAAGAGGCUAUGCUUAGAGGCCCUGUGUAAUAUGAUUGGAUGUACCCAAUCGAAAGAAGGCUGCUUACUUGUAAGCGUCAUGUGCGAAACACGGCAAGACCUGAAGGUUCUAUUGCUGAAGCAUAUGUUGUUGAUGAGUGCUUGACUUUUUGCUCUAGAUACUUUGGCGAUGUGGAAACAAGAUUUAACCGGCCGGGCAGAAAUAGAGAGCGGUCUGAUUCGCAAAGUGGUUAUGUCUCUGUUUUCAACCAUGGUGUGAACUUUCUUGCAGCCUCACAAUACUUGGAGGCUGGUGAUGAGUAUGACAAGAUGGUUUGGUUUGUGCUCAGCAAUUGCGCCGAGGUUCUACCAUAUAUCGCGUAUGUUAUAUCUUGUGCACUCAUUAAAUAUUUUUUUGCUUGGGUUGGCACCAGCCUAAUGUUUGAAUUCACAUGUUUUGUUGGCAUUGCAGGAAAUGCAAGGAAGAGUUAAAUCAGAAAGAAAGCAAUAUCCAUAUUGAUAAAAGGGUUGCCAAUGGGUUUGCUAAGUGGUUUAAGAAUCAUGUGAGCUCUUUAUCCACAUGUUUUAUGUUUUAUGUGUUAUUGACCAAUUGUUAAAUACCAUUGUUUGCUAAAUGGUUUAUUUGUGCAGAUUGGAAAGUUGCAUGAGGAGAAGAAGGUCAGUGAUGAUCUAUUUGCUUUGGCAUGCUUACCGGAUAAGCGAGUGAGAGUGUUUUCAGCAUGCAUUGCUGACGGUGUCCGGUACCACACCAUUGACCGCGAGGAAAAAAGGAAGACACGGAAUAGUGGAAUCGUCACAGAGGGGUCACAUGAUCGUGAGAUAAUUGAAUUCAAUGGUCAGUUGAGAAGCAUCGUAGAGUUGCAGCACAACUGUAGUGGAGGCAUCCAUCGCUCGGUUGUCUUAUUUCGCUGUGACUGGUUUGAGCUUGGUAGCAAGAAGAAGAGAGACUCUUUUGUCAAAUAUGAUGGCCACUUCAAAAGCAUCAACACUCCAAGGUGAUGGUAUAAGAGUGAUCCCUUUAUUCUAACAACACAAGCAACAGUGGUGUUUUAUCUGCCAGACACUCUUUUGCACGGAAAAUGGCGAGUUGUGCAAAACUUUGAGCACAGACACUUGUGGAGUGUGACUGAAACAGACGUGGAAAAGGGCCCCGGUGAUGGUGGACUAACAUACCAAGAUGAUGACUCUACGGAAGUUCGGUUGCAAGCUGAUGAUGACUCUAUGGAAGUUCCGGUGCAAAGCAGAGUGCGAAGGGACCGGGAACGUGUGAUCGUUGGUGCUGCAACAGUUGAAGGCAUGAAGAAAAGAAGAAAGGUGGUAGCGGAUGGACAUGAGAGCGAGGAUGAGGAAAACCAGACUGAUCAUACUAUGCUGCAAUAUUGUAGUGAUGAUGAGGAAAACAGGAGUGGGAAUAGAGUUCCUUGUUUUCGUAUCAACGACGAUGAGUAGCGAAUGGACAUGAAGGUAAAUACUAUUACUUCAUGUUCUUUGUUUUGGUAUCUAUGGGACUAGUGACAUGAUGUGAUCAAUCUUCUCUCCAGGUAGAAAAAUGCUUGAAGAUUCUAGGAGCAAAAUGAUGUGAUCCUGAUGGUUGUAGCACAAUGAUGAUCCUGAUGGCUGCAGCAAUAGUGAUGUAGUUAUCCUGAUUCACAGUGCUUUAAGAUUCCAGCAGCAAAAUGUAGUUUUUUGUAAUAUGGAGCAAAAUGUAGUUUUUGUAGCUGUUAUGCUUGCUAUUUUGGACUGAAUUGAGAUGUUAUGUUUCAUGAAGUUUUUUUGAACUGAAUUGAGAUGUUAUGUUUCAUGAAGAUUUUUUUAACUAUUUAGUUCAAGUUUUGGUGAUCAUUUAGUUCAAGUUUUGGUCAGAACUAUUUAGUUCAAAAUGAAUGUUGUCUAGUAGUUUUUAUGAUCAUUUAGUAGUUUUUUUGAACUGAAGAUGCUAUUUGAACUGAAUUUUGGUUCAACUGAACAUGGGCGCGCGGCCAAAAAAAUAUGCGCCUACGGGGACUCGAACCCACGACCGUGCGCUUGUUUCACUAUGUUAAUACCACUGGGCUAGGAAGAGACUACUGGUCUUCCACUCUAUGCCAACCUUUUUAAAUAUAUCAAACUAGUCAAGUAUCAAGCACACACCUCACUGACUAGUGGGCCACUCGACCCACUCGCUGACAAGUGGGCCAUUUUGCUAUUGUACCCAAGCUACCAAAAAUAUGCGCACGGCCAGAAUAUAAGCCCGCGCGGGGGCUCGAACCCACGACCUGGCACUUAUUUCACUCUAUUUCGACCACUGGGCUAGGAAGAGGUUGUUGUUUCACAUGUUUUGCCCACCCUUGUCAAUAUAUCAAACAUUUUCACGUAGCAAAGCUGAUAAGUGGACCCGCUCCCUCUCUUUUCCCCACUUCUCCUCACCACUCGACCCGCUCCUCCUCUCCAUCGACAGCGCCGCCCACCACCGCCGGCUCCUUCCUCUCCCACCGCCGGCCUCCCCACCGCUGCUGGCUCCAUCCUCUCCCACCGCUGCCGACUCCUUCCUCUCCCACCACUGCCGACUCCUUCCUCUCUCUCCCGAGGUAUGAAUCCUUCCUCUCUCUCUCCGUCCUGGUUGGAUUAGAUUUCUGCUACUGGUUAGAUUAGGGUUCUUGCCAUUGCCUAGAUUGGAUUAGAUUAGAUAGGGAUUGGAUUCGAUUAGGGUUUGAUUUGGUUAGGGUUUGAUUGGGACUGGAUUAGAUUAGAUUAGGGUUGGAUUAGAUUAGGGUUUGAUUAGUGGGAAUUGAUUCGGUUAAGGAUUAUGCUGUCAAGUAUGCUUUGUGCCUUUUGAUAAGACUGGGAAGUAUGCUGUCAAGGAUUAUUCAGUUAAGGAUUAUUCAGUUAAUGAUUCAGUUAAGUAUUCAGUUAAGUAUGAGACACUUGGUAUGAGCUGUAGAAUGUUUUGUGCCAUUUGAUAUGCAGCAAGUAUGAGCAUUAUGAGGCAGUGAGACACUAGUGUGUUCUCAUUUGGUUUUCUUUUUGUAAUGAUUUACCCGAGUGGCUAAGCACUACUAUCUAGGUGUACAAAUACAAUGUGAUCAUGCUAAGCACUGCUAUGUUGGUGCUUAUGUUCUGAUGUGUACAAAUACAAUUCUAUUUAGGUGUUUGCACUGCUAAGAUUUUCUUGGUCUCUUGUUUUUUCUGUUUUGAUGUUAUAUUCAUAAAUGAUGAUGCAUGAAGUAUUUCCUGCUAUAAUUUUCUUCUGUCACACUGUUGUUUUGCUGUGCUUGAUAAACCUGAGACUUCUUUCUAUUGUAAUAUUGAAACUGUUGUUUUGCUGUACACUAUUGGUCCAUUUAUAAUAGAUAUGGUUCUGGUCAAUUUAUAGUAGAUAUGGUUCUGGUCAAUUUAUAUUGCUGUGUUCUGGUCAAUUUAUAGUAGAGUUUAGUGUUGUUGCUGUUGGUGGCCACCUGAUGAUGUUGCUGUUGCUGUGUUAGUUUACUGUGCUAUUGAUGUUGAUGUGCUUGUUUAUAGUAGGAGCAAAUUGAGGCCGUUACCAUUUAUAGUAGUAUUCCAAAUUGAGGCCCUGGCAAACACAUGUAGUAAUUAUUCUACUGUUUUGAAGUGCUUGUUUCCUAUUUCUCUCUAGUCCUGUUGUUUAAUUUACAAUGCUGCUUUUCAGAGAAGUGAGAUGGCUAGCUUGGAAGGUUUUGAGUUCUUCGAGAUCGUAAUUGAGAAAUCUUGCAGUAGGUAGGUAUAUUUAUCAUCACUCAUUUCUUUAUCAUCACUCUGCUGUCUAGUGCUUGAUUGCCACAAUUAACCACUGCUUGACCCUUGCUGCAGAGGCUGCCUGGCAAGUUUGCGAAGAUGCUCGCCAGCCGUGAGCCCCACAAAGUGAAGUUGUGGGAGGCCAGCAGCGGGCUUCACAGGCUGUGGGACGUGUUGGUGGUGUUCGAUGGUGAAGGCCACAUGUACUUAGGGCCCGACUGGGAGCAUUUCGCCCGCGCCCAUGAGCUACAGCUCGGGUACUUCCUUGUCUUCCGCUACAACGGCGAUGCCAUGUUCACCAUGAAGAUGUUCGAAACACCAUGUGCUGCAUGUACUACCAGCACGACGAUGAUGCCAGUAACCUCUAUGCCUCUCUUCUUCCUGUCCUUUUGGCCUCCUCUACCAGCACGAUGGGAACACUAUGUUCACACUUUGUUGCAUUUGGCCAGGCAAUGGGAGCAGCAGCGGGGAUGACGAAGAGCAGACUGUGCAAGAAGAGGAGCACAGCGGGGAUGACGAGGAGCACAACGGGGAUGACGAGGAGAACAGCGGAGAUGACGAGGAGCACAGCGGGGAGGUGCAGCCUAUUCUGGCUGACAACGACCUUGCUAUGGUGGUGGCUGACGACGACCUUGUUAUGGUGGUGACUUACGACGACCCUGCUAUGGUGGUGGCUGACGACGACCCUGCUUUGGUGGUGGCUGACGACGACCUCACGAUUGUGGUGCCUGACACUGACCUCGCGAUGGUGGUGCCUAACGAUGACCUUGCGAUAGUAGUGGCGCCGGCGAUUCCACAGCUAGGCGACAGGACCAUGCCAAUUGUGGUAGAGGAGUACAUCCGCGUUGGGAUUCGCCACUCUGAGUGCAUCAGGUUGAUGAAGGAGAAGAAGGAGGAGUGAAGAUGUUAAUAAUAUGAAGUGGCAAUGUUAAGCAUGUUAUGUUUAAGCUUGUUAGUGUAAUCUGAACAUGUCAAUGUUAAGUAUGUCAGGUUUAAUUUUGUGCAUGCUCAUGGAUGUUGUAUGACAGUGUCAUCUAAACAUGUCAACUUUUACGAAUGAAUAUUCAGUUUGGUAAUUGAUGGGAAAUGAAUUUUUUUAUGCAUGCUCAUGGAUGAAAGAUAAAAUAAUGGGCUUUUGUGCAUGCUCAUGUAUGAAACAAUAUAAGUUUCAUUUUUUGAAUGCUAAAAACAUGACUCAAACCCUAGCCACGGACGGCCGCCGCGAUGAAAUCGGUCGUUUUUUGAAAACACCAUAAAAAAUUCAAAAAAAUGGGAGACCUACGCGUCACAUCAUCAAAUGUGGCCCACCAACUAGCAAAAAUACUAAACUUGCAAUACCGGCGUUUUCUUCAAAAAGUGUUCUAAAAAACGACCUACCAUGAACGAAGAUUCAUGGCUUACAAGCCUAACUAGCAAUGAUAUGGCCGCAUCCGUUGAAUAGCUUCUGAUAAUAUGCCCAAAUUGGGCGCAUGCCUCCGUCUUGUGAUGGCAAACAAUGUUGCCAAAGCGAGGUUCCAACUUGUUUAACAAGAAAAACUAUUUUUCAUUUUUCGAAUCCUGAAGACAUGCGUUUUUUGUGAAGCGGCUACAAGGAGGGUCACCCCAAACGGCGCCAUUCCAUGUCUAUCUCAAAGUAGACCCUAUUUUACGGACGGUCACCAAAAAGCAUGCAUUUCCGACCCUCAUAGCUACUCCCGACAAUUCAAACCACCUUCGGCCGAUUCAGCUGGAACCAGCCGGAAGUUGAACUGCGGGUCCUCCAUAGCUUGCCCGUUAUUUUCACUAAAAAUGCUUUUUAGCUUCAUAGGUAGGCAUUUCAUCAUAGAAUCGACAACAGAUUUGCACGGCUCAAACCCUAGCCACGGACGGCCGCCGCGACGAAAUCAGUCGGUUUUUGAAAACACCGUAAAAAAUUUAAAAAAAUCAAAUAAAUGGGAGACCUUCGCGUUACAUCAUCAAAUGUGGCCCACCAACUAGCAAAAAUACUAAACUUGCAAUACCGGCGAUUUCUUGAAAAAGUGUUCUCAAAAACGACCUACCAUGAACGAUGAUUCAUGGCUUUCAAGCCAAACAAGCAAUGAUAUGGCCGCAUCCGUUGAAUAGUUUCUGAUAAUAUGCCCAAAUUGGGCGCAUGCCUCCGUCUUGUGAUGGCAUACAAUGUUGCCAAAGCGAGGUUCCAAUUUGUUUAACAAGAAAAACCAUUUCUCAUUUUUUAAAUGCUGAAGACAUGCGUUUUUCGUGAAGCGGCUACAAGGAGGGUCACCACAAAUGGCGCCAUUCCAUGUCUAUCUCAAAGUAGACCCUAUUUUAUGGACGGUUGCCAAAAAGCAUGCAUUUCCGACCCUCAUAGCUACUCCCGACAAUUCAGACCACCUUUGGCCGAUUCAGCUGGAACCGGCCGGAAUUUGAACUGCGGGUCCUCCAUAGCUUGCCCGUUAUUUUCACUAAAAAUGCUUUUUAGCUUCACAGGUAGGCAUUUCAUCACAUAAUCGACAACAGAUUUGCACAGCUCAAACCCUAGCCACGGACGGCCGCCACGAUGAAAUCGGCCGUUUUUUAAAACACCGUAAAAAAAUUAAAAGAAUCAAAAAAAUGGGAGACCUCCGAGUCACAUCAUCAAAUGUGGUCCACCAACUAGCAAAAAUACUAAACUUGCAAUACCGGUGUUUUCUUGAAAAAGUGUUCUCAAAAGCGAGUUACCAUGAACGAAGAUUCAUGGCUUUCAAGCCAAACUAGCAAUGAUAUAGCCGCAUACGUUGAAUAAUUUUUGAUAAUAUGCCCAAAUUGGGCGCAUGCCUCUGUCUUGUGAUGGCAGGCAAUGUUGCCAAAGCAAGGUUCCAACUUGUUUAACAAGAAAAACCGUUUUUCAUUUUUUGAAUGCUGAAGACAUGUGUUUUUCGUGAAGAGGCUACAAGGAGGGUCACCCCAAACGGCGCCAUUCCAUGUCUAUCUCAAAGUAGACCCUAUUUUACGGACGGUCCCCAAAAAGCAUGCAUUUCCGACCCUCGUAGCUACUCCAGACAAUUCAGACCACCUUCGGCCGAUUCAGUUGGAACCAGCCGGAACUUGAACUGCGGGUCGUCCAUAGCUUGCCCGUUAUUUUCACUAAAAAUGCUUUUUAGCUUCACAGGUAGGCAUUUCAUCAGAGAAUCGACAACAGAUUUGCACGGCUCAAACCCUAGCCACGGACGGCCCCCACGACGAAAUCGGCCGGUUUUUUAAAACACCGUCAAAAAUUCAAAAAAUCAAAAAAAUGGGAGACCUCCGCGUCACAUCAUGAUAUGUGGCCCACCAACUAGCAAAAAUACUAAACUUGCAAUACCGGCGUUUUCUUGAAAAAGUGUUCUAAAAAACGACCUACCAUGAACGAAGAUUCAUGGCUUUCAAGCCAAAGAAGCAAUGAUAUGGCCCCAUCCGUUGAAAAGUUUCUGAUAAUAUGCCCAAAUUGGGCGCAUGCCUCCGUCUUGUGAAGGCAGACAAUGUUGCCAAAGCGACGUUCCAACUUGUUUAACAAGAAAAACCGUUUUUCAUUUUUUGAAUGCUGAAGACAUGCGUUUUUCAUGAAGCGGCUACAAGGAGGGUCACCCCAAACGGCGCCAUUCCAUGUCUAUCUCAAAGUAGACCCUAUUUUACAGACUGUCGCUAAAAAGCAUGGAUUUCCAACCCUCGAAGCUACUCCCGACAAUUCAGACCACCUUUGGCCGAUUCAGCUGGAAUCGGCCGGAAUUUGAACUGCGGGUCCUCCAUAGCUUGCCCGUUAUUUUCACUAAAAAUGCUUUUUAGCUUCACAGGUAGGCAUUUCAUCACAGAAUCGACAACAAAUUUGCACGUCUCAAACCGUAGCCACGGACGGCCGCCACAACAAAAUCGGCCGGUUUUUGAAAACACCGUAAAUUUUUAAAAAAAAUCAAAAAAUGGGAGACCUCCGCGUCACAUCAUCAAAUGUGGCCCACCAACUAGCAAAAAUACUAAACUUGCAAUACCGGCGUUUUCUUGAAAAAGUGUUCUCAAAAACGACCUACCAUGAACGAAGAUUCAUGGCUUUCAAGGCAAACUAGCAAUGAUAUGGCCGCAUCCGUUGAAUAGUUUCUGAUAAUAUGCCCAAAUUGGGUGCAUGCCUCCGUCUUGUGAUGGCAGACAAUGUUGCCAAAGCGAGGUUCCAACUUGUUUAACAAGAAAAACCAUAUUUCAUUUUUUGAAUGCUGAAGACAUGCAUUUUUAAUGAAGCCGCUAUAAGGAGGGUCACCCAAACGGUGCGAUUCAAUGUCUAUCUCAAAGUAGACCCUAUUUUACGGAUGGUCGCCAAAAAGCAUGCAUUUCUGACCCUCGUAGCUACUCCUGACAAUUCAGACCACCUUCGACCGAUUCAGCUGGAACCGGCCGGAAUUUGAACUGUGGGUCCUCCAUAGCUUGCCCGUUAUUUUCACCAAAAAUGCUUUUUAGCUUCACAGGUAGGCAUUUCAUCACAGAAUCGACAACAGAUUUGCACGGCUCAAACCCUAGCCACGGACGGCCGCCACGACAAAAUCGGCCGGUUUUUGAAAAGACCAUCAAAAAUUCAAAAAAAUCAAAAAAAUGGGAGACCUCCGCGUCACAUCAUCAAAUGUGGCCCACCAACUAGCAAAAAUUCUAAACUUGCAUUACCAGCGUUAUCUUGAAAAAGUGUUCUCAAAAACGACCUACCAUGAACGAAGAUCAUGGCUUUCAAGCCAAACAAGCAAUGAUAUGGCCGCAUCCGUUGAAUAGUUUCUGAUAAUAUGCCCAAAUUGGGCGCAUGCCUCCGUCUUGUGAUGGCAGACAAUGUUGCCAAAGCGAGGUUCCAACUUGUUUAACAAGAAAAACCGUUUUUCAUUUUUGAAUGCUGAAGACAUGCGUUUUUCGUGAAGCGGCUACAAGGAGGGUCACCCCAAACGGCGCCAUUCCAUGUCUAUCUCAAAGUAGACCCUAUUUUACGGACGGUCGCCAAAAAGCAUGCAUUUCCGACCCUCGUAACUACUCCCGACAAUUCAUACCACCUUCGUCCGAUUCAGCUGGAACCGGCCAGAAUUUGAACUGCGGGUCCUCCAUAGCUUGCCCGUUAUUUUCACUAAAAAUGUUUUUUAGCUUCACAGGUAGGCAUUUCAUCACAGAAUUGACAACAAAUUUGCACGGCUCAAACCCUAGCCACGGACGGCCGCCACGAUGAAAUCGGCCAGUUUUCUAAAACACCGUAAUUUGUUUAAAAAAAUCAAAAAAAUGGGAGACCUCCGCGUCACAUCAUCAAAUGUGGCCCACCAACUAGCAAAAAUACUAAAGUUGCAAUACCAGCAUUUUCUUGAAAAAGUGUUCUCAAAAACGACCUAACAUGAACAAAGAUUCAUGGCUUUCAAGCCAAAGAAACAAUGAUAUGGCCGGAUCCGUUGAAAAGUUUCUGAUAAUAUGCCCAAAUUGGGCGCAUGCCUCCGUCUUGUGAUGGCAGACAAUGUUGCCAAAUCGAGGUUCCAACUUGUUUAACAAGAAAAACCGUUUUUCAUUUUUUGAAUGGUGAAGACAUGUGUUUUUCGUGAAGCGGCUACAAGGAGGGUCACCCCAAAUGGCGCCAUUCCAUGUCUAUCUCAAACUAGACCCUAUUUUACGGACGGUCGCCAAAAAGCAUGCAUUUCCGACCCUCGUAGCUACUCCCGACAAUUCAGACCACCUUCGGCCGAUUCAGCUGGAACCGGCCGGAAUUUGAACUGCGGGUCCUCCAUAGCUUGCCCGUUAUUUUCACUAAAAAUGCUUUUUAGCUUCAUAGGUAGGCAUUUCAUCACAGAAUCGACAAUAGAUUUGCACGGCUCAAACCCUAGCCACGGACGGCCGCCACGACGGAAUCGGCCGGUUUUUUAAAACACCGUAAAAAAUUAAAAAAAAUUAAAAAUUGGGAGAACUCCGCGUCACAUCAUCAAAUGAGGCCCACCAACUAGAUAAAAUACUAAACUUGCAAUACCGGCGUUUUGUUGAAAAAGUGUUCUCAAAAACGACCUACCAUGAACGAAGAUUCAUGGCUUUCAUGCCAAACUAGCAAUGAUAUGGAAGCAUCCGUUGAAUAGUUUCUGAUAAUAUGCCCAAAUUGGCGCAUGCCUCUGUCUUGUGAUGGCAGACAAUGUUGCCAAAGCGAGGUUCCAACUUGUUUAACAAGAAAAACCGUUUUUCAUUUUUGAAUGCUGAAGACAUGCGUUUUUCGUGAAGCGGCUACAAGGAGGGUCACCCCAAACGGCGUCAUUCCAUGUCUAUCUCAAAGUAGACCCUAUUUUACGGAUGGUCGCCAAAAAGCAUGCAUUUCCGACCCUCGUAACUACUCCCGACAAUUCAUACCACCUUCGUCCGAUUCAGCUGGAACCGGCCGGAAUUUGAACUGCGGGUCCUCCAUAGCUUGCCCGUUAUUUUCACUAAAAAUGCUUUUUAGCUUCAUAGGUAGGCAUUUCAUCAUAGAAUCGACAACAGAUUUGCACGGCUCAAACCCUAGCCACGGACGGCCGCCGCGAGGAAAUCGGUCGGUUUUUGAAAACACCGUAAAAAAUUCAAAAAAAUCAAAUAAAUGGGAGACCUUCGCGUCACAUCAUCAAAUGUGGCCCACCAACUAGCAAAAAUACUAAACUUGCAAUACCGGUGAUUUCUUGAAAAAGUGUUCUCAAAAACGACCUACCAUGAACGAUGAUUCAUGGCUUUCAAGCCAAACAAGCAAUGAUAUGGCCGCAUCCAUUGAAUAGUUUCUGAUAAUAUGCCCAAAUUGGGCGCAUGCCUCUGUCUUGUGAUGGCAGACAAUGUUGCCAAAGCUAGGUUCCAACUUGUUUAACAAGAAAAACCUUUUUUUCAUUUUUUGAAUGCUGAAGACAUGCGUUUUUCGUGAAGCGGCUACAAGGAGGGUCACCCCAAACGGCGCCAUUCCAUGUUUAUCUCAAAGUAGACCCUAUUUUACGGACGGUCGCCAAAAAGCAUGCAUUUCCGACCCUCGUAGCUACUUCUGACAAUUCAGACCACCUUCAGCCGAUUCAGCUAGAACCGGCCAGAAUUUGAACUGCGGGUCCUCCAUAGCUUGCCCGUUAUUUUCACUAAAAAUGCUUUUUAGCUUCAUAGGUAGGCAUUUCAUCACAGAAUCGACAACAGAUUUGCAUGGCUCAAACCCUAGCCACGGACGGUCGCCGCGACAAAAUCGCUCGGUUCUUGAAAACACCGUAAAAAAUUCAAAAAAAUCAAAUAAACGAGAGACCUCCGCGGCACAUCAUCAAAUGUGGCCCACUAACUAGCAAAAAUACUAAACUUGCAAUACCGGCAUUUUCUUGAAAAAGUGUUCUCAAAAACGACCUACCAUGAACGAUGAUUCAUGGCUUUCAAGCCAAACAAGCAAUGAUAUGGCCGCAUCCGUUUAAUAGUUUCUGUUAAUAUGCCCAAAUUGGGUGCAUCCUCCGUCUUGUGAUGGCAGACAAUGUUGCCAAAGCGAGGUUCCAACUUGUUUAACAAGAAAAACCAUUUCUCAUUUUUUGAAUGCUGAAGACAUGUGUUUUUUGUGAAGCGGCUACAAGGAGGGUCACCCCAAAAGGCGCCAUUCCAUGUCUAUCUCAAUGUAGACCCUAUUUUACGGACGGUCGCCAAAAAGCAUGCAUUUCCGACUCUCGUAGCUACUCCCGACAAUUCAGACCACCUUCGGCUGAUUCAGUUGGAACCGGAUGGAAUUUGAACUGCGGGUCCUCCAUAGCUUGCCAGUUAUUUUCACUAAAAAUGUGUUUUAGCUUCACAGGUAGGCAUUUCAUCACAGAAUCAACAACAGAUUUGCACGGCUCAAACCCUUGCCACGGACGGCCACCGCGACGAAAUCGGUCGGUUUUUGAAAACACCGUAAAAAAUUAAAAAAAAUCAAAAAAAUGGGAGACCUCCACGUCACAUCAUCAAAUGUGGCCCACCAACUAGCAAAAAUACUAAACUUGCAAUACCGGCGUUUUCUUGAAAAAGUGUUCUCAAAAACGACCUACCAUGAACGAAGAUUCAUGGCUUUCAUGCCAAACUAGCAAUGAUAUGGAAGCAUCCGUUGAAUAGUUUCUGAUAAUAUGCCCAAAUUGGAUCAUGCCUCUGUCUUGUGAUGGCAGACAAUGUUGCCAAAGCUAGGUUCCAACUUGUUUAACAAGAAAAACCUUUUUUCAUUUUUUGAAUGCUGAAGACAUGCGUUUUUGGUGAAGCGGCUACAAGGAGGGUCACCCCAAACGGCACCAUUCCAUUUUAUCUCAAAGUAGACCCUAUUUUACGGAUGGUCGCCAAAAAGCAUGCAUUUCCGACCCUCGUAGCUACUCCCGACAAUUUAGACCACCUUCGGCCGAUUCAGCUGGAACCGGCCAGAAUUUGAACUGCGGGUCCUCCAUAGCUUGCCCGUUAUUUUCACUAAAAAUUCUUUUUACCUUCAUAGGUAGGCAUUUCAUCACAGAAUCGAGAACAGAUUUGCACGGCUCAAACCCUAGCCACGGACGGCCGCCGCGAUGAAAUCGAUCGGUUUUUGAAAACACCGUAAAAAAUUCAAAAAAAAUCAAAUAAACGGGAGACCUUCGUGUCACAUCAUCAAAUGUGGCCCACUAACUAGCAAAAAUACUAAACUUGCAAUACCGGCAUUUUCUUGAAAAAGUGUUUUCAAAAACGACCUACGAUGAACGAUGAUUCAUGGCUUUCAAGCAAAACAAGCAAUGAUAUGGCUGCAUCCGUUUAAUAGUUUUAGAUAAUAUGCCCAAAUUGAGCGCAUGCCUCCGUCUUGUGAUGGCAGACAAUGUUGCCAAAGCGAGGUUCCAACUUGUUUAACAAGAAAAACCGUAUUUCAUUUUUUUGAAUGCUGAAGACAUGCGUUUUUCAUGAAGCGGAUACAAGGAGGGUCACCCCAAAUGGCGCCAUUCCAUGUCUAUCUCAAAGUAGACCAUAUUUUACGGAUGGUCGCCAAAAAGCAUGCAUUUCCGACCCUCGUAGCUACUCCCGACAAUUCAGACCACCUUCGGCCGAUUCAGCUGGAACCGGCCGGAAUUUGAACUGCGGGUCCUCCAUAGCUUGCCCAUUAUUUUCACUAAAAAUGCUUUUUAGCUUCAUAGGCAGGCAUUUCAUCACAGAAUCGACAACAGAUUUGCACGGCUCAAACCCUAGCCACGGACGACCGCCAUGAUGAAAUCGAACGGUUUUUGAAGACACCGUCAAAACUUCAAAAAAAAUAGAAAAAUGGGAGACCUCCGCGUCACAUCAUCAAAUGUGGCCCACCAACUAGCAAAAAUACUAAACUUGCAAUACAGGCGUUUUCUUGAAAAAGUUUUCUAAAAAAUGACCUACCAUGAACAAAGAUUCAUUGCUUUCAAGCCAAACAAGCAAUGAUAUGGCUGCAUCCGUUGAAUAGUUUCUGAUAAUAUGCCCAAAUUGGGCGCAUGCCUCUGUCUUGUGAUGGCAGACAAUGUUGCCAAAGCGAGGUUCCAACUUGUUUAACAAGAAAAACCAUUUUUCAUUUUUUGAAUGCUGAAGACAUGCGUUUUUUGUGAAGCGGCUACAAGGAGGAUCACCCCAAAAGGCGCCAUUCCAUGUCUAUCUCAAUGUAGACCCUAUUUUACGGACGGUCGCCAAAAAGCAUGCAUUUCCGACCCUCGUAACUACUCCCGACAAUUCAGACCACCUUCGGCCAAUUCAGCUGGAACCGGCCGGAAUUUGAACUGCGGGUCCUCCAUAUCUUGCCAGUUAUUUUCACUAAAAAUGCGUUUUAGCUUCACAGGUAGGCAUUUCAUCACAGAAUCGACAACAGAUUUGCACGGCUCAAACCCUUGCCACGGACGGCCACCGCGACGAAAUCGGUCAGUUUUUGAAAACACCACAAAAAAUUAAAAAAAAUGAAAAAAAUGGGAGACCUCCGCGUCACAUCAUCAAAUGUGGCCCACCAACUAGCAAAAAUACUAAACUUGCAAUACCGGCGUUUUCUUGAAAAAGUGUUCUCAAAAACGACCUACCCUGAACUAAGAUUCAUGGCUUUCAAGCCAAACUAGCAAUGAUAUGGCCGCAUCCAUUGAAUAGUUUCUGAUAAUAUGCCCAAAUUGGGCGCAUGCCUCUGUCUUGUGAUGGCAGACAAUGUUGCCAAAGCGAGGUUCCAAGUUGUUUAACAAGAAAAACCGUUUUUCAUUUUUUGAAUGUUGAAGACAUGCGUUUUUGGUGAAGCGGCUACAAGGAGAGUCACCCCAAACGGCGCCAUUCCAUGUUUAUCUCAAAGUAGACCCUAUUUUACGGACGGCGCCAAAAAUCAAGCAUUUCCGACCCUCGUAGCUACUCCCGACAAUUCAGACCACCUUCGACCGAUUCAGCUGGAACCGGCCGGAAUUUGAACUGCGGGUCCUCCAUAGCAUGCCCGUUAUUUUCACUAAAAAUGCUUUUUAGCUUCACAGGUAGGCACUUCAUCACAGAAAUGACAACAGAUUUUCACGGCUCAAACCCUAGCCAUAGACGGCCGCCACGACGAAAUCGGCCGGUUUUUGGAAACACCGUCAAAAAUUUAAAAAAAUCAAAAAAAGGGAGACCUCCGCGUCACAUCAUCAAAUGUGGCCCACCAACUAGCAAAAAUACUAAACUUGCAAUAGCGGCGUUUUCUUGAAAAAGUGUUUUCAAAAACGACCUACCAUGAACGAAGAUUCAUGGCUUUCAAGCCAAACAAGCAAUGAUAUGGUUGCAUCCCUUGAAUAGUUUCUGAUAAUAUGCCCAAAUUGGGCGCAUGCCUCCGUCUUGUGAUGGCAGACAGUGUUGCCAAAGCGAGGUUCCAACUUGUUUAACAAGAAAAACCGUUUUUCAUUUUUUGAAUGCUGAAGACAUGCGUUUUUCGUGAAGCGGCUACAAGGAGGGUCACCCCAAACCGCGCCAUUCCAUGUCUAUCUCAAUGUAGAGCCUAUUUUACGGACGGUCGCCAAAAAGCAUGCAUUUCUGACCCUCGUAGCUACUCCCGACAAUUCAGACCACUUUCGGCUGAUUCAGGUGGAACCGGCCGGAAUUUGAACUGCAAGUCCUCCAUAGCUUGCCCGUUAUUUUCACUAAAAAUGCUUUUUAGCUUCACAUGUAGGCAUUUCAUCACAGAAUUGACAACAGAUUUGUACGGCUCAAACCCUAGCCACGGACGGCCGCCGCGACGAAAUAGGCCAGUUUUUUAAAACACCGUAAAAUUUUAAAAAAAAUCAAAAAAAUGGGAGACCUCCGUGUCACAUCAUCAAAUGUGGCCCACCAACUAGCAAAAAUACUAAACUUGCAAUACCGGCGUUUUCUUGAAAAAGUGUUCUCAAAAACGACCUACCAUGAACGAAGAUUCAUGGCUUUCAAGCCAAACUAGCAAUGAUAUGGCCGCAUUCGUUGAAUAGUUUCUGAUAAUAUGCCCAAAUUGGGCGCAUGCCUCCGUCUUGUGAUGGCAGACAAUGUUGCCAAAGCGAGGUUCCAACUUGUUUAACAAGAAAAACCGUUUUUCAUUUUUUGAAUGCUGAAGACAUGCGUUUUUCGUGAAGCGGCUACAAGGAGGGUCACCCCAAACGGCGCCAUUCCAUGUCUAUAUCAAAGCAGACCCUAUUUUAUGGACGGUCGCUAAAAAGCAUGCAUUUCUGACCCUCGUAGCUACUCCCGACAAUUCAGACCACCUUCGGCCAAUUCAGCUGGAAUGGGACGGAAUUUGAACUGUGGUUCCUCCAUAGAUUGCCCGUUAUUUUCACUAAAAAUGCUUUUUUGCUUCACAGGUAGGCAUUUCAUCAUAGAAUCGACAACAGAUUUUUACGGCUCAAACCCUAGCCACGGACGGCCGCCACGACGAAAUCGGCCGGUUUUUUAAAACACCGUCAAAAAUUCAAAAAAAAUCAAAAAAAUGGGAGACCUCCGUGUCACAUCAUCAAAUGUGGCCCACCAACAAGAAAAAAUACUAAACUUGCAAUACCGGCGUUUUCUUGAAAAAGUGUUCUCAAAAACGACCUACCAUGAACGAAGAUCAUGGCUUUCAAGCCAAACAAGCAAUGAUAUGGUCCCAUCCGUUGAAUAGUUUCUGAUAAUAUGCCCAAAUUGGGCGCAUGCCUUCGUCUUGUGAUGGCAGACAAUGUUGCCAAAGCGAGGUUCCAACUUGUUUAACAAGAAAAACCGUUUUUCAUUUUUUGAAUGCUGAAGACAUGCGUUUUUCGUAAAGCGGCUACAAGGAGGUUCACCCCAAACGGCGCCAUUCCAUGUCUAUCUCAAAGUAGACCCUAUUUUAUGAAUGGUCUCCAAAAAGCAUGCAUUUCCGACCCUCGUAGCUACUCCCGACAAUUCGGACCACCUUCGGCCGAUUCAGUUGGAACCGGCCGGAAUUUGAACUGCGGGUCCUCCAUAGGUUGCCUGUUAUUUUCACUAAAAAUGCUUUUUAGCUUCACAGGUAGGCAUUUCAUCACAGAAUCGACAACAGAUUUUCACGGCUGAAACCCUAGCCACGGACGGCCGCCACGACGAAAUCGGCCGGUUUUUGGAAACACCGUCAAAAAUUUAAAAAAAAUCAAAAAAAUGGGAGACCUCCGCAUCACAUCAUCAAAUGUGUCCCACCAACUAGCAAAAACACUAAACUUGCAAUAGCGGCGUUUUCUUGAAAAAGUGUUCUCAAAAACGACCUACCAUGAACGAAGAUUCAUGGCUUUCAAGCCAAACAAGCAAUGAUAUGGCCGCAUCCGUUGAAUAGUUUCUGAUAAUAUGCCCAAAUUGGGCGCAUGCCUCCGUCUUGUGAUGGCCGACAAUGUUGCCAAAGCGAGGUUCCAACUUGUUUAACAAGAAAAACCGUUUUUCAUUUUUUGAAUGCUGAAGUCAUCCAUUUUUCGUGAAGCGGCUACAAGGAGGGUCACCCCAAACCGCGCCAUUGCAUGUCUAUCUCAAAGUAGACCCUAUUUUACGGACGGUCGCCAAAAAGCAUGGAUUUCCGACCCUCGUAGCUACUCCGGACAAUUCAGACCACCUUCGGCUGAUUCAGCUGGAACCGGCCGGAAUUUGAACUGCGGGUCCUCCAUAGCUUGCCCGUUAUUUUCACUAAAAAUGCUUUUUAGCUUCACAGGUAGGCAUUUCAUCACAGAAUCGACAACAUAUUUGCACGGCUCAAACCCUAGCCACGGACGGCCGCCGCGACGAAAUCGGCCGGUUUUUUAAAACACCGUAAAAAAUUCAAAAAAAACAAAAAAAGGGAGACCUCCGCGUCACAUCAUCAAAUGUGGCCCACCAACUAGCAAAAAUACUAAACUUGCAAUACCGGCGUUUUCGUGAAAAAGUGUUCUCAAAAACGACCUACCAUGAACGAAGAUUCAUGGCUUUCAAGCCAAACUAGCAAUUAUAUGGCCGCAUCCGUUGAAUAGUUUCUGAUAAUAUGCCCAAAUUGGACGCAUGCCUCCGUCUUGUGAUGGCAGACAAUGUUGCCAAAGCGAGGUUCCAACUUGUUUAAAAAGAAAAACCAUUUUUCAUUUUUUGAAUGCUGAAGACAUGCAUUUUUCGUGAAGCAGCUACAAGGAGGGUCAGCCCAAACGGCGCCAUUCCAUGUCUAUCUCAAAGUAGACCCUAUUUUACGGACAGUCGCCAAAUAGCAUGCAUUUCCGACCCUCGUAGCUACUCCCGACAAUUCAGACCACUUUCGGCUGAUUCAGCUGGAACCGGCCGGAAUUUGAACUGCGGGACCUCCAUAGAUUGCCCGUUAUUUUCACUAAAAAUGCUUUUUAGCUUCACAGGUAGGCAUUUCAUCAUAGAAUCGACAACAGAUUUGCACGGCUCAAACCCUAGCCACAGACGGCCGCCACAACGAAAUCGGCCAGUUUUUGAAAACACCGUCAAAAAUUCAAAAAAAUCAAAAAAAUAGGAGACCUCCGCGUCACAUCAUCAAAUGUGGCCUACCAACUAGCAAAAAUACUAAACUUGCAAUAACAGCGUUUUCUUGAGCUACUCGGUAUGAUUUUAACCAUGAUUUCUACAAAGUUUACAAAAAGACCCUAUUUUUUCUACCCCCAAACCGAAAAGAAUUUCCCUCCCACACCAAAAUUUUUCGUUCACCAAAAUUUCCCUCUUCCAAAAUUUCCCUCCACUCCCUCCACUCCCUCUCCCACUACCAGGCGGGUCCCACCACUCCCUCUCCUACUAACACGCGGGAUCCCCUCCACUCCCCUCCCAAAAUAUCCCCUCCCCGCCCGCAACCCUAUCCCACUCCCCAUUCCCCAUCCCGCAACCCUCCCUCCUCUGCUCCGCCAGCGACGAACCCAGCUCCGCGCCAUCNNNNNNNNNNNNNNNNNNNNNNNNNNNNNNNNNNNNNNNNNNNNNNNNNNNNNNNNNNNNNNNNNNNNNNNNNNNNNNNNNNNNNNNNNNNNNNNNNNNNNNNNNNNNNNNNNNNNNNNNNNNNNNNNNNNNNNNNNNNNNNNNNNNNNNNNNNNNNNNNNNNNNNNNNNNNNNNNNNNNNNNNNNNNNNNNNNNNNNNNNNNNNNNNNNNNNNNNNNNNNNNNNNNNNNNNNNNNNNNNNNNNNNNNNNNNNNNNNNNNNNNNNNNNNNNNNNNNNNNNNNNNNNNNNNNNNNNNNNNNNNNNNNNNNNNNNNNNNNNNNNGACGACCACUCCCUCCCCUGCUCCGCGCCGCCCCGCCGCUCGUCCUCUUCUCCGCCUUGAUGAAUCCCCCUCACCUCUCCCCACCCUGCAACCCUAGCCCCGCCCCGCUCUGCUCCCCAACGACGAAUCGCCGCUCCUCUCCUCUACAUCGACGAUGGUGGCGCGGAGCGACCACUGCAUCAUCUACAACACGACGACAGGUACUCCCCUCGAUGUUCUAUGGUUAGGAUCUCCUGAUGGUUAGGGUUAGGAUCUUCUGGUGGUUUGGUGGAUCUCAUGGUGCAUCUUCUAGGGUUAGGAUCUCCUGAUGGUUAGGGUUAGGAUGUCACCGUGUUCAUGGGGUUAGGGUUCUUCUUCAUGGGGAUGGGGAUCGGAUGGAUUCAUGGGGUUCUGAUUCAUGGGAUGAUAUCUUGUUGUUAAUCUGAUUUUGGGCUUAGGGUUCAUGGGGUUAUGGUUCAUGUCAUUGGUAAUCUGAUUUUGAGAUGGGGAUGGAUUCAUGGGGUUAGGGUUUUUUGAGGAGGUGGUUCUUUAUUCUAGAUUUUGUAUGCUCUAUUUUCAUUUUGCAUCCCAGUCAAUGUUGUUGCUUGAUGUUUCGCAUUGUCAUGUGGAUGCCCUGUGGUAGCUCAUCCAUGGCCUUGUUUGUCAUGCAGGUCAUUGAGCAGCAUCAGGAGGAGGAGCUCAAGCACGGCUACCACAAAAGCAGGCUUUUGUCCAUCUCCAUCUCCCUCUCCCUCUGCUGCCAAUCCUUUUUAUUAGAAUAUAUUGAUUUUUGUUUGCACUCUGUUAUGCUUUGUUAAUCUUUACUUGCUUGCUUGAUGACAUUGAAGUUGAUGUCUGUAAGAGGUUGUUUGUAGCCAUACUAAUAGUUAACAUGAUGUAGUAGUUUUAUCUCUGGAAUCCCUAGCAGGUACUAAAGUUUUGGAUUGCAUAUUCCUUUUAAAUUUACUUGGCUAGUUUAGUGCCACCUCUUGAGUUAAAUAAGAACCUGGAGUAAGCUAUUAUGCUGGAAUUGUUGUGCCAUUGUGUGAAGUAUUGAUAUCCAUUUGCAUCUUCGCAGAAAUGGCUGCAUGUUCUUUGAGAAAUCUUCCUUUGAAGCAUUCUCUCUUUUUUGUAUUUGCUAGAACAAGGAUGUUAUUCUUUUUGGGUGUUCGAUUUGUUUUGCUUUCUGUGGCACUCUGUUAUUUGUUCUUGAUUAUGGUCACCACUAAAUCUAAAGAUCUGUAGUUGUUGUUCCCAUGCUAUCUAGGGUUUGUAGGUUCCCAUUCAUGUUUGGUUUCUAUCCUGUGAGCUCCUGCAUGCUUUGGUUUACAUAUAGAAAGCUUUCUGCUCACUGUACUACUAGAGUAGUUCAUGUAGGUGUGAUGUAUGCUCUCUGGGUUGGUCUAGUUAAUUCAUGGUGUUCAUUACUAAAUGAUUAAGUCCAUCUUCCAUUCCUGUGAGCUAUACUAAUACUAGCAUGAGACAUUGCCAUUCCUUCGAGCUAUACUAAUACUAAAUGAUUAAGUCCAUCUGCCAUUCAUAGUGUACCUGAUAGUGUUGUCACAGUACCAAUCAGAUACUGUAGACCAUUGUGCUAUACUAAUACUAGCAUGAGACAUUGUCAGAUUUACCACAUGAUGUAUAUGUGAUCAUGUGGGGACUGGGGAAGGAAAGAGAGCGCGGGGUGGGCUCUAUAUGUGCUCUGCUUAGAUGUAGUAUAUUUUCUCUGCUAUAUGUGUGCUCUGCUGCUGAUGUAUAUCUAUGUGCUCUGCAUGCUGCUCUAUGUACUAUUGUGCCAUGGCGACUUGGGGCGACUAAUCAAGCCAAGUCGCUGACUCAAGCCAGCAAGCCACUAGCCGCAGCCUUGGCGACUUGGCUUGACUCGGCGACUCAAAUACCUUGCUUCAAUUUCCAUGCUUGCUUGUUUCUGUCAGUAGCACUAUGCUUGUUUCUAUCAGUAGCACUUUCCAUGCUUGCUUGCUUGUAUUAGUAGCUCUUAUGCACUUUGCUUGCUUGCAACUAGGGUUUGUAUCAACAUGUACUUGAUUGCUUGUAGCACUUUGCUAUCAGUAUCACUACUGGGGUUUGCUAUCAUUAGCACUUUUCUAUCACUAGUUCAUGUUGCUUGCUUGCUAGCAUACAUGUUGCUUGCUAGCAUACAUGCUUAAUUAGGGUUUCCCUCAGCAGUACUUGCUAGUAUCAGUAUAACUUGGAGAAGAAGCUACUUGCUUGCUUAUUAAUUAGGGUUUGUAUCAAUAAUACUUGCUUGCUUCUCUUCAUUUUCCUUCAUUGCUUGCUUGUUUCUAUCAGUAGAACUUAGCUUGCUUGCUUGCUUGUAUUAGUAGCACUUAUGCACUUUGCUUACUUGCUACUAGUGUACAUGCAUGCUUGUUUAGUGCACUUACAUGUUUGCUUAAUUAAUAACACUAGAUCACUGUAUUGUUGAUCCAUCAAGUUUGUUUCACAUGUAUUACAUGUAUGUGCAUGAUGGUCCAAAUGCUUUCCUUUAUUGAUACAAGUGCAUCAUUUUACUUUAUCCCUGUUGUAUCUGAUUGUUGUUUAUUCUAUUUUGCAAGCACCACCUCAAGAUCAUCCAUGGCAAGGAUGGCAAGGUCAAACAUGAGGCCAACCGUUGGUAUGCAACUUGCUCCUUGUGGUUAUACUGUCAUUUUAAUAAAAUAUGUGUCUUAAUAUGCUAAAUGAAAUGUAUUGCUGCAAUCUAAAUAAGCUGACUUAAUUGUGCCUGUGUGCUGUUAGUCUUCCUUACCUGAAUAACUAGGAUUAAAUGAUAAUAAAAUUUCAUAAGAUAUGUUUGGUUGUCUGUCCAUGCAUUCCAAACAUUCACCUAAUAGUUACGUUUCCUUUAUCAUGCAAAGAAGAACCUCUCACCGAGUACGAGAAGGUUAGGGCUAGAAAUAUCAUGAGGAACAAUCGGAUGUUCCAGUCCCUUGGCAUCGGUGCAAUAGCGUCGAUGAUUAGGAAAACAAAUGGUGUACAAGAAGGUAGAAGUGAUGAGGUUCAAGAAGGUAGUGGAGUUAUCAAUGAUGACCCAGAGUACAAUCCUAAGGAGGAUGAAGUUAUUGAUGGAGAGGAAGUGGAUGAUGUUGUAGUGAACAAGACUGUUAAGGUGCAAACUCUGUCUUGCUUGGAGGGUUGGGGUUCUUUUAUGCUAUGUUAUUCCUUGUGCUCACAUAUUUCUCUUAUGAUCUAAUGCUUUUUUCCGUGCUGUUUAUACGAGGCACUGAAGGAAUCUAGGACGAAGAGACCUGGUGUUAAGAAUACUGUCAGCAAGAAGAAGAAGAAGAGCUCAGAAACAUCUGCUGCAAUGCCUUCAGGAAGGGUGAUGGCCCCAGCUCCAGGACAAAAAAAGAGGAUCCUGGAACCUGAUGAACCUGCCCUUGAUAGAGUCACAAGGCAGAAAGCAAAGAUGGCGACUGCGACGGACCAUCAGGAAAGUCUGCUGCGCAUGGACUCUGAGACCUCGGUGCAAAUGGGUGAUGUGUUGCCACCCAUGUAUGAAGGAACCACUCUCAGCAUGGAUGGAAGUGGCACUGUCUACCUAGAUGAAGGAGGAACCAUCUGCAUUGAUGAAGCAGGCACUGUCCACACAGACCUCAGCCCUGUUGCACCUUCUAUUGACAGGAAUGUUGUCAUCAAUGAAGAAGAACAACAGCUUGUGCUUCAAUUAGGCAAGUUGACCUUUGCAAUGCUAUCUUUUACUAGUGCAUUUUCCAAAUGGAAUGAUCAUGUAUGCUUUUGUCGAUUCCUGCAUUUGUCGAUUUCUAUUCUAAUUUAUGAGUUCAAUUUCAUUUUCAGAUGAAAUGACUACCAAGACUAGACUUAGAAAGGGCAAAGGGCUAGAGAGGAUCACCAAGUCGCUUGGUAGCAAGGUGCCUAUCCAAAUUGCCGAAGGGAUGAAGCAUCCAGAGAAGCCUCUGCAGGAAGCAAAGCUUGCUUCUGAGUGUGGACUCGUUGCAAGAAGCCAUCUUCCGGUUCUUCCUCACUUCAAGCUAUACAAAAAAUGCUAGUCUAUUGGAGAACUACAUUGGGAAAGUUGUUGUAAGCUACUUGUUUCAUAGUUAAUGUGCUAUCUAUUUUCUGUUACACCUAUGCAUGAUCACUAAUAUUGUUCCUACUUUGUUUGCUGUCUUGGUAGGCAAAUUUUGAGAUGAACAUGGACUCAGAGACCAUCAAGACCGCGUGCAAAGAUAUUCUGCAGAAAAAUUCAAAGAACAGACGCCAUCAGACCAGGAAGAAGUAUUUUGAUACCGUAGCCGCCAAUAAAGUCAGCAUUAAGUCUCCGGUGCCUGAUCUGGCGGAUGGUGAAUGGAAAGCUCUGGUUCUGCAUAUGAUUAUGCUGACAGUAUGCUUUUUUGUAGGGAACAUGUGUGUCAGACAAGUUGAAUCGAGAAAAAGUCAUGUACAAUCAGAGAACUGGUUCCAGGCACUACACAGCACACAUUUUUCCCACUGUGAGAAAUUUUCUCUAGAGACCUUACCGUUUGAUCCUCGUUGAAUAACAUUUCUGAUUCUUGUUGAAUAACAUUUUAAUUUUUGUUGAAAAACAUUUCAGAAAGAAGAGCGUAAGGGUGAGGAGCUGUCUGCUAUUGACUUGUUUAAGGCCACCCACAACAGCAAGAAGCACGGGUUUUCGGAGCCAGUCAAGACUGCUAUAGUGAGUCACUCCAUGCUUUUUCCAUGCCAGCUUUGAUGUUGUUUGAUGCUGUUCCAUGCUUUGAUGCUGUUUGAUAGUUCCAUGCUUAUAGUUCCAUGCUAGGCUUAAUGAAGAUAUCAGAACAGCUUAAUGAAGAUAGUUCCAUGCUUAUAGUUCCAUGUUUGAUUCACACACGUUGUGUUCCAUGCUUUGAUGAUGUUUGAUAGUUCCAUGCUUAUAGUUCCAUGUUUGAUUCACACACAAAGAUAUCAGAACUUGUUGUAGCUAUUUGUUGCAUUUUUUAUGAUAUGAUGAAAUUUGAUCUGAAUGUUAGUCGGGAAGCCAUCUUAUAUAGAACCACCAUUCUAGGCUUAAUGAAGCAAUCAUAUUGUUCCAAUUGCAUGUCUCCAGGUCACUAGUCAUCAUCUUCUUGUAUAGAUUUUGUGUGCUGGUUAGGUUACUUCAGAUAAUCCAUUUGUGUAAUGGUUUGGUUUCUCCACUAAUGCCUAUCAUUUUCCUCCAUAUGCUAGAUUGAGAUGGAAAAAUGAAGCAUGCGCCGGUACCAGAAGGUGAAGAGCCAAAGUCUACUGUUCAAAUUGUCGAAGAACUGUUGUUGAAAUAUGUCAAGCAAAGCACAUUCCUCACGAAUGUUGGGCUCCAGUCAUCUAGAAACAACUCCCACAAAGCAACCGCUGAAGUGGCUACUCAUGUUCGUGACCUUGAGCAGAAGCUGGAGAGGUCCGAGCUUCAAGCUGAAGUGAUGCAAGAAGAAUUCGCGGCAAUCAAGAUGAAGGUGGAAGAAUCUGAAGCUGCACACGACAAGGAACUUGAGCUACUGCGCAAGAAGUCUCAAGAACAGGAAGAGAAGUUAGCCCACUUGAUGGCUCUCUUUGGAGCUAAGGUAGUUUGAUGGCUAAGGUAGAACCACAAUGGUCAUGGAGUUUGUCUUUGAGCUAAGGUAGUUGUUGCAUUUUGAACCUGGAGCUGAGCUGAGCUGUUGCAUUUUGUUGCAUUUUGCUGUUUGAACCUCUUGUGCAGUUAUGUGAACCUGUGAAGUUAUGUGAUCUUGUGAAGUUAUGUGAUCUUGUGAACCUGUGUUUAUUUUCUGUGAAGUUAUGUGGAUCACUUGUGCACCUGGGCCUUGUUGUUUGAACCUGGGCUUGUGGGUCACUUGUGCACCUAGGCCUUUCCGUUUAUUGUUAUGCAAAAUGAGAACAUGGGCUCUAAAAAGGCCAAGGCCCAAAUAAGAAUUAGACUAAAAAGGCUUGGGCCUAAAAAAAGAAAUGACUGUAAGAAAAAAAUUAUAAAAGGCUGCAUAACAGAAAAUAAAAAGGCCAAGGCCCAAAUUCGAACUAGACUAAAAAGGUUGUGGCCCAAAACAAUAGUGGACUAUAAAAAAAUUCAUCAGAAAAAGGCUCCAUUCACAGAAAAUAAAAGGCCAAAUUAUUGGGCCAGGCCCAUGCACAUAAGCAAAAUAAAGAUAAAAAAAUAAAUGGGCUGAAUUAUUGGGCUUGGCCCAUGUAGACGGCUGAAAUGGACCGGGCUGAUUCUAUUUUACGACCUUUUCAUUUGGUCGUAAUUCUGCCACGUCAGCUUGCUACGGUGGAUCUGACGUGGCGUGAUCGGAUUGCUAGUGACCAAAAUAAUUGGUCAUUAAAUCUACGACCUUUUUUAGUCAUAAACGUCUAAGACCAUUCCAGAAGAAAGGUCGCUAUAGUCAGUUAACGACGGCCAGCUUUUGACCUUAUGUUUUUGGUCAUAAAAAGGUCACAAAUGGAAAACAGUGACCAUUCAGUGACCAAUAGUGGUGGUCAUAAGUUGACAUAUUUCUUGUAGUGUCAUAACUAUGCACUUUUCUAUCAAUUGCUCGACAGUAAUUUGUUCACCCACCGUAAUACUUAUGCUAUCUUGAGAGAAGCCACUAGUGAAACCUAUGGCCCCCUGGUCUAUUAUCUAUCAUAUAAGUUUCCAAUCUACUUUAUUUUGCAAUCUUUACUUUUCAAUCUAUAUCAUAAAAAUACCAAAAAUAUUUAUCUUAUCAUAUUAUCUCUAUCAGAUCUUACUUUCGCAAGUGGUCGUGAAGGGAUUGAAAACCCCUUUAUCGCGUUGGUUGCGAGGUUCUUGUUUGUUUGUGUAGGUGCGAGGGACUUGUGUGGAGCCUCCUACUGGAUUGAUACCUUGGUUCUCAAAAACUGAGGGAAAUACUUAUGCUACUUUGCUGCAUCACCCUUUCCUCUUCAAGGGAAAAACCAACGCAUGCUCAAGAGGUAGAAAGGGUCAGGAACAAUAUGUGGGCCAUCAUACUCAGGCCACUGUGACUGGACAAGGAAGGGAUGAAAUCGAGGCACCCAUGUCAACGUCAUGGCUUCCAAUGUGAACUCGUGCAACCGUACGGUCCUCCCAUCAGAAUAGGCAAGUUUCUCGCCUUAGCCGCCGUCAUAAGAUGCGAGCACGGCCGGUGGUAAUUGUGAGGCCUCUCACACUGACACCACCGGUUAUUGAGGUGCACCUCAUACGCAACACCGCCAUAAGUCACACCGUCUCGUGUUGUGCCACCUGGUUCGUCCACUUGGUAGAUCAUGCGGCAAAGUUUGUGUGGCAUUCACCAUCUCGUGUUGGUAGAGUUUUGCAAAGACCUUACCCACAAACUUGGUAGAUCAUGCGGCAAAGUUCGUCCACCUGGUUCGUCCACCGUCUCGUGUUGUGCCACAAACACCGUCUCUUGCAUGCCCCAUAAAAGUUCGCCACGAAAUGCCGAAUUCACCAUUAGUGAUGAAGCUUUGGAAGCCAAGGAAUGACAACUUCUAUGGCCUUGAGAAUGCCAUGGUGCCGUUUUGACAUGAUGCAUACCUCCCUCUUUCCAAUCACCUUGGUCCUCACAUGCCCCAUGAACCACUCCCAAUUGUCGUCAUGCUUGGAAGGAACUAAAGCAAAGGCCAUCGUCAACAUGUUAUCAUUGGAAGAAUGAGCCAUUGCCACCAUUAGUGUGCCCUUUUAUUUGCCGGUGAAGACAGUGCCAUCUAUAGACAACACCGGAGAACAAUGCUUAAAUGCCACGAUGCAUUGCCCAAAACUCCAGAAGGCACGAUGAAACACUCCGUCAAUUUCCUCAGCCCCAUGCUGCAUGCCUGGGUUCUUAUGUGCAAUGGCUCCCAACAUCCUCGGAAGAAUAUUGUAUGCGGCCGCAUAAUCACCAUGCGACAUCCUAAUAGCAUUUGCCUUGGCCUUCCAUACCUUCCCAUAAUUGACCUUGCAUCCAUAAACUUUUUCAACAAUACACUUGAGAAACUUCACCUUCACGGUUGGGUCAUGGGAUAUCUCAUUCAAUAAUUUGUAGCCGAGAAACUCUGACAUGAGUUGACGGUGGUCCUUGCUUCGGUCAGCUUUGUCUGGCGGUAUGCACUCGUGAGUAGCUACACAACUUUUCAAGUCCCAUUGCCCCGUUUCAUGAUUUUUUCUUCCAUGAACCUUCCAUGGGCAACAUUCUUUGUCACACUCCAUGGUGUAACGCACCUCUUGGUCGGAACGACCAACAACAAAUGGCCUAUGGUUCAAAAUGGCGUAGUCACUCGAUCACAUCUUUAACUCUUGGAAGCACUCAAACUUGAUGCCUUUUUUCAAAGGAGCAUUCUCGUCCUCAUUCUUUGGCCUUGGAUCGCUGACUCUCUGGCACGGUGUUGGUUCAACCAACCCCACUCUCAUGCCACCAUCAACAAUGGCAUGGUGGGCAAGGCUAAUAUCACGAAACAAUGGGGCUCCUCUUGUUGGAAAUAUGCCCUAGAGGCAAUAAUAAAAGGAUUAUUAUUAUAUUUUUUUGUUCAUGAUAGUUGUCUUUUAUUCAUGCUAAAACUGUAUUAUCCGGAAAUCGUCAUACACGUGUGAAUACUUAGACCACAACAUGUCCCUAGUGAGCCUCUAGUUGACUAGCUCGUUGAUCAACAGAUAGUCAUGGUUUCCUGACUAUGGACAUUGGAUGUCGUUGUUGACGGGAUCACGUCACUAGGAGAAUGAUGUGAUGGACAAGACCCAAUCCUAAGCAUAGCACAAGAUCGUGUAGUUCGUUUUGCUAGAGCUUUUCCAAUGUCAAGUAUCUCUUCCUUAGACCAUGAGAUCAUGUAACUCCCGGAUACCAUAGGAGUGCUUUGGGUGUACCAAACGUCACAACGUAACUGGGUGACUAUAAAGGUGCACUACAGGUAUCUCCGAAAGUGUCUGUUGAGUUGACACGGAUCGAGACUGGGAUUUGUCACUCUGUAUAACGGAGAGGUAUCACUGGGCCCACUCGGCAGUGCAUCAUCAUAAUGAGCUCAAAGUGACCAAGUGUCUGGUCACGGGAUCAUGCAUUACGGUACGAGUAAAGUGACUUGCCGGCAACGAGAUUGAACGAGGUAUUGGGAUACCGACGAUCGAAUCUCAGGCAAGUAACAUACCGUCUGACAAAGGGAAUAGUAUACUGGGUUGCUUGAAUCCUCGACAUUGUGGUUCAUCCGAUGAGAUCAUCGAGGAGUAUGUGGGAGCCAACAUGGGUAUCUAGAUCCCGCUGUUGGUUAUUGACCGGAGAGCCGUCUCGGUCAUGUCUGCAUGUCUCCCGAACUUGUAGGGUCUACACACUUAAGGUUCAGUGACGCUAGGGUUCUAUGAAUAGGAGUAUGCAGCAAACCGAAUGUUGUUCAGAGUCCCGGAUGAGAUCCCGGACGUCAUGAGGAGUUCCGGAAUGGUCCGGAGGUAAAGAAUUAUAUAUAGGAAGUGUGGUUUCGGCCAUCGGGAAAGUUUCGGGGUCAUCCGGUAUUGUACCGGGACCACCGGAAGGGUCCCGGGGGUCCACCGGGUGGGGCCACCUAUCCCGGAGGGCCCCGUGGGCUGAAGUGGAAGGGGAACCAGCCCCUAGUGGGCUGGUGCGCCCCCCUUGGGCCUCCCCUGCGCCUAGGGUUGGAAACCCUAGGGUGGGGGGGCGCACCACUUGCCUUGGGGGCACUCCACCCCUCCUGGCCGCCGCCCCCUUGGGAGAUUCCCAUCUCCAGGGCCGGCGCCUCCCCAGGGGGCCUAUAUAAAGGAGGGGGAGGGAGGGCAGCCGCACCUUGAGUCUUGGCGCCUCCCUCCCCUGCUACACCUCUUCCUCCUCCCGCAGUUGCUUGGCGAAGCCCUGCCGGAGUCCUGCUGCAUCCACCACCACGCCGUCGUGCUGCUGGAUCUUCAUCAACCUCUCCUUCCCCCUUGCUGGAUCAAGACGGAGGAGACGUCACGCUGACCGUACGUGUGUUGAACGCGGAGGUGUCGUCCGUUCGGCGCUAGGAUCUCCGGUGAUAGGAUCAUGACGAGAACGACUACCUCAACCCCGUUCUCUUGAACGUUUCCGCACGCGAUCUACAAGGGUAUGUAGAUGCAUCUCUCUCUCUCUCUCUCUCGUUGCUAGAUGAACUCAUAGAUGGAUCUUGGUGAACGUCGGAAAUUUUUUAUUUUAUGCAACGUUCCCCAAAACCUCUUUCCUUGACGUGCACCUCCUUGAAUAUUUGAUUUUCUUGCUCCAUGAAUCCAUCCUCUUCCAAUUCUUCCUCCGGACCCUCGUCAUCCGAGCAUAACCACACAUACAGUAAUAUGGGAGGCUACGAUCCAUGUCUUGUUGAUGGACAAUGACAUCCAAGUUACCAAUGGGAUUGUAAUGGAUCUCUUCUUCUUCCGCUUAAGCAUCAACAUCAUCAUCAUGACCAAUAGCAUCAUCAUCAACAUGACCAAUAGCAUGAACCUCCGGGUCUUUAAUUACUAUGGCUCUAUCAUUCAUCCCAGCUUUCAUUUGAUCAACUACUUGGUGGUUGGCUAUAAGAAUUGGGGACAUACAAAUCAACCCUACCAUCAUGUAUUGGGGAGGAGGCAUGCCAGUUCAAGUCAAUUUGUAGCACAGGAGCAUCAACCUUGGUGGCAAAUAAUUCAAGUGAGUUGUCUUGCGAUUGCUCAACUUUACCAUUGUACACCUUCGAAUGCAGUUCCGAGCUGAUAGGCAUACUCUUCAACCGAGACUUCACCCCCACUCCAACAUCAUGCCUUCCAAUAAGUUUAACCUCAUCAUUUGGGUCCAUCCAAUGUAAGACACUUCUCACUUUCACAACUACAUCCUCAUAGGUUGGGUUACUGAAAGACCAUUGGUUCUUCCCCUUCAUCGUCAUUAUCGUUCAUAAAUGUCUCCUUAUCCAAAUAAUGAAGAUUAACGAGACUACCCAUCUAAUAAAUUUUACAAAAAGUCAAUGAUAGGCCGGCAACAUAAUAUGGCUUUGAGAAAAGUUCUAUGCUAUACUUUCAAGGAACAAAACAAAUAACAACUAAAGAACAAAAUAUCAUGGCUUAACCCUAACAACUAAAUAAUGACUUUUCUUUAACACUAACCCUCACCCUAGAAAAGUAACCCCAACAAUAGCCCUAGAUCUAGCUACAACAACAAAGUUAGCCAUACUAAACAUGGUCAAUAACACAUAUACAACCCUAGAUCUAGAUCUAGGGUCCAUCAAAUCCAUUGAUUUCACACAAAAAGGAGCACAACUAGGGUUUGCAUAAAAGGAAUCCAUACCAUCAAAUAAGUUGAUUCCAACCAACCAAAAAGAAGAGAGUGAGUGAGGUACCUUGAGUGAUGAAAAUGGCCUCAAUCCACCGAAGAAAACUCAAGCAAUGGAGAUGAAUUUGAUGGAGCCUAGGAUGGGGGGGAGAGGGGGGAGAGGGGCUGAGCUCGGGGAAGAAAGGAUUUGGGGGCGAAUGGGUGGCUUGUGGGGCCCACCAAAGCCCCCAGCCAUUGGUAGGACACCACACCCUACCGCCACUGACUAUGGAGGUAGCCACUUAUCCACGUCAGCGACGUGGAUGGAGCCGUUUACGUUGACCGCUACCCUACCGCCACAGGCUCUGGCGGCUGCACGUUAUAGCCUACCGCCAGCUCGGGUGGCGGUAGGAAAAGGGUCAUAUCCGGAAAAAAAAUCCCGGAGGGGGUCAGAUCCGGCUAAAAGACGACAAAGGGGUCAAAAUAGUGAAUUUGGCCACUCGGGGUUGGGGGCCUAUGGACUUUGCAAUAGAAAGACGAGUUACACCAUCCACGUGGAACACCACCCAACUACGUCCUUUUCAUGCUUAUGUUAUUUUUAAAAUUUUAGAUUAUUUGUCACUUUAUCUUACCACAUUCAAACAUUAUUUAGCAAAUAAAGAUGUUCCAUAUCGACAAGAGAGCCGUGUGAUUACCUUUAUUUCAUCCUGGUCACUGAAAACUAUAAGUGAAUCCUCCAGGAUAGACUCAUAGACUCGGGGGUUGUGUCGCGCAAAGUGGAAAACCCCGUAGUCAGCUUAGGGGUUGCAUCAUAAAGUUCCCCCUAAUUGUCUGGAACCUGAGGUUGCUUCACCCGUACCGACUUCCCUGCGUAUAUAAGGGAGGGGGGGCUGCAUCGAUGUAGGAACAUAAAUUAAUUUGUCUAGGGUAAAAAAACAUGGAUGGAAUAAUUAAAAAAAAAAAUAGCAGAGCAGGUUUCUCCCCUUUUGUUGUGGCCAGAUAAAUCGAAAAUGGAAGUACUUGUAAAUAUUCACUGAAUAUUUUGAAGCAUUAUGCAUGCUUGCAUGUUCUGUCCUUCAAAUAGAUAAAUUAGACUUUGCCAAAUUUAGACAUGAAGCCAGAGACCCAGUCAGGCAUCGCUAACCUAGGCGCACUUAAGAAAAAACCAGUCAAUGGAUCGUGCUUCAGUGCACUGCACACGGGUCGUGCUAGAGUUUUUCUACGUGUAGGUUAUGUUAGUUUGGUCACGGUGUUCUACAUCCGAGUUCACAUUCAAAUAUGUUGGCCUUUAAUUCUUCCAUUCAAUCCUAUCCAUCUGAACGUGUAAUGGAUAAAAUCAGAAGAAACGGCCAACAUAAUUUGACAUUUAAUUGUACAAACACGUAAUGACUAGUACAAGUAGGCAUCAUGUAUGUGUAUUGCUACUGUCUCUAUCUUACCAAACACAGUGACAAACACGAACCAACCAGUGGUUGGAUAGUUAGGAGGACAAUUGUAUCUCCUGCAUAUCAAAGUUCAAUUACGGGACCUGAUACUGAUGCUCGCAUUUUCUUGAAUUUAUUCCAGACAUUCCGACGAUAAGUGAUCAGUGAGAGGAGACGAUUCAGUCAAUUACGUAGAUGUAUGUGGCGAGUUCAUCAAUCUUAAAAUGAUGUGCCAACUCAGUCUCUUGGAGGUGCUUAUAGGGAUAGAGUGUGCGUGUAUGCUUUCAUAGGGAUGAGUAUAUAUGUGUAUGUAUGUGCGUGUACGUCUGCACUGUGUUAAAAAUAACACAGUGACAAACACCUACUCCAAAACUUACCAACAACACUUGACCCUGAAUCGCAUCGUCCGCAAAAUAGAAAUGCAGUUUUAAUUCCGGAGUACUGUAUAUAGCAACAACCAGCAAGUUGGUGAUGCAGCAAGUUGCACUUCUCGUACCUGUACUACGUUUGGAACGACUCACAACUUGUAUCCUCAUUCCAUGAAAGCAUCUGUCAAUCAACAUGUUAAGAAAAACUUACAAAAACAUACUACCUUGGUCCUGGUUCAUGCAUGUCAUCAAAAUUGUAUCAUUGAAAAAUGUCUUCAAAUGCGAAUCCAACAAUAUAAUUUUUGUUGACAUGUACUAAUAUUUUGCCAGUUAAUUCUUUUGUCAAAAUUUAGCAUAACUUACAAAAAGGACUAAUAAACCAGGACGGAAGUAGUAACACCCGGGCCAGCUGUAGACGAGCCUCAGCUUAUUCUGGACAUUUCUUAAUCUCCCGCAUUAUUCAACUCUUGUUGGCAGAUUCGACUACAAUAUAAUAGGAGUGAUGCACAGUCACAAUCGUUCGCUGGUCUUUGAUCUCUAGCUAAUCAUUUUCGAAGUAUACUUACUAAGGACAAUAACUAUUUAACGACUACUGCUACACACGUGCCGCAUGCACUCGCAAGUCCAGCACACAUGCCCAGUGUCGCAUACGAGCGUCUCACUCUCACCAACGACGACUAUGCAUGGAUGAAGAAAAUAAGCGGCCUUGUCGACGAUUUUGUGCCAAAAGUCCAGAGGCGUCCAAACAACCGAGUGAUAUACUUUAUCUCCCGCCCGCCAACAUGCAUGCAUCCGUCCUGUUUCUCCAAGUUCAAUUCAAACAUUGCGCGUCAACGUUUUUCCAUCGAGUCCAAAAAUGUUCCCCCGUCAAUUUGGACCGACCGGUGCAUAUUUCUAAGAUCCCAACAACCGGAUAAGAUGUGGCGAGACCGAAACGAAUCGACCUGGCCGAGCUCCUAGAUUUCCAUUUCAAUCUUUAGUUUUCGCGUCAAGCCAGAGUGUGCACUGUCAGUGCAGCCGCCUGUAAAAUAUGCCAUCUUAAUUCUAGACUGACAGUUUACUAAUUAAGACAAUAUAAACCGUUUGAUUGAGGAAUUGACCGGUGUGUCUGUGGAUCAUGACCGCAUGUUUACUGUCGUAGUUGUUGUGGACAAAACGUGGUCGAGAUUGAGCAUGCACGAUCGAGACGUCGCAAACAGAACGUUUCCUGGCUUCCUGCAAGCCUGGCCUUUGACCGUGCUCGCAACAAGUGAUCAGCCUACUUUAGUUUUAUCUAAAGCGACUGGAAAGGAAGCUGCCCUGCUCUUGCCCUGAGUCCAAUUUAAUUUGUUCUCCUUUUAAUUUUCCAUAUACUCUUCUGAAACUCUAAGGGCCCGCUUGGAAUCGGUGUAAGAUAUUACAUCCGGCUGCAGCAUGAGUUCCGCCUGGAGAAAAAAAUGACGCCUAGAGGUCCUCAUCGUUUUUACGGUGGUAUUGAGAGGCCAAACGAUAAUCCAAGCAGAGCCUAAACACGCCUUGUGAAACACGAGGACAACAUGCCGAAAUGGAAUGAAUACAAAGAGAGGAAACUUGGUGCUUCCGUCACAUGAAGCUUUGCGCCUCUCCAGGAAUAGAUAGAUUACGAAGUGCAGUUUCAUUUCUCUUGUCUUUUCACUCUCUUGUGUUGAACAACUGCUUUCCUCUGACCUUCCUCUGAACUUCCCAGUAUUGUCUUCCUUUUUCUGUUUUCUCAAGCUCUGCAAUCUACAGGUUCUUCUGCUCCCAUUUCUAUUUCUUCUGUACCGGCUUUGUAGAUUUUCAUCCAGCAUUUAUCUCUAUUUAACUUAUUAUUAUUCUUUUAAAUUUCCCUUCUUUUCUGUUUCCCACAAAAUUUAAAAAUCGUCACAAUGUCUAGAAAAUAUUUAGAAAUUUUGAAAAUUCUCAUGAAUAAAAAAAGUUUCACAAAAUAAGAAACUUAUUCGCGAAUCUAAAAAUGUUCGCAACUCCUAAAAUUUUCUUUAUGAAUUUAUAAAAAAAUUACGAAAGUACUAAAUACAUGAACUUUUUCAAAGACACAAAACACUUUUUACAGUUACAUUUAAAUAAAUCGUGCCAUUUACUAAAAAAUAUUGAAUAUUUCAUAAACAAACAGUGUUUUUAAAAUAUCUCAUGAAGUUACAAAAAGUGUUGACCUACUUUUCAAUAUUGUGCAUGUAUUUUUAAUACCAAAGGACAUUUUUAAUACAACAUAAAAAUCUAAUACAUGGUGAACACUCAUUAGUACAUGAUCAAUGUGUUUUAAACAAAUGAUAAAUUUUUUAAUAAAUUGUAAAAAAUAGAGGGAAAAUAAAUUUUAAAUUGGUAUGUACAUUUUAAUAAAUCGUAAAAAUAAUUACAAGGCGACUAUUUUUUAUAGAAGAUGAACUUUUUUAAAAACAGAGUGAGCAUUUUAAAUAAACAUUAAAAGUGGCUUAAUACAAUAAACGAUUUUCUAAUAGACGAUCUCCUCUAAACCCAUUUUAUUUUACAGAACAAAUAUUUUUCAAUCAACGACGAACCUUUUUUGGUACUCGGUAAAUGCCCAUCACUAUUAUAUGAAACUAUUUUGUUGUACACAUAAAAAAUUCUAUUAGACAACAAACAUUUUUAAUAUGCAAUCAAAAAAGAUGGCAACCCACUUUUUGAAACAUGAUGAAUGUUUGUUGAUGCGUGGUGGGAAAAAGACCCAAAAGAAAAACAAAUAAGGAAAGAAAAAUAAUGAAGGAAAGGGAACACAAAUACAAAAAAGAAGAAAAAUAAAAACCAAAAUAAAAAACUAAAAGGAAACUGAUAACAAAAGGUAGAGAAAAGGAAAAAGAAAAUGAUAGAAGAAGAAAUAAGAAAUAGAAAGAAUUAAUAAACUAGAAAACCUCAAGAAACCUUAAUAAACUUGGUCCCUACGGAUGACCUGCAAGUAGAUGGUUAUUGAGCUGGUCUUUCUUAGGCGGCCUUCUAACUCUAUCUUCAAAUUUCUCUCAUUUUUGCCGCAUUGGCACCCGUUAUUUUGACAGAGGGAUCAUGAUCGGCUUGUCCUCAUGAUGGACGCGAUGAUAACUAUCGCGCCCCAGGGCUCCUGAGCUUCCAAUCACUUAGUGAUCUGGUGGGUUGUUUGUCUUGAUGCCCCAAUAGACUCUAUUAUUUUCUUUGAUGCACUUGUAUAGUUGUUUAUUUGUAAAGCGGGGUGAAAGCCUAUUUUAAGAGACACCGAACAGGUUGAGUGCUACCCGUUUUUCGAUGAUAUAAUUAGUUAAACAAUUUGCAUCUCUAUUUUACUCAUGCUCAGCCUUGAUAAUCAUGCACCUCACAAAAAAAAGCCUUGAUAAUCAUGGGGAGUCCGAUCCCCUAAGCCAGUUAACUUCAUUCAACACAACUGCACUCUUUAUUUAGACCCAAAAAAAUGCACUCUUGUCGUCUGUGUAUACGCCUAUAUUGGCUCGUUUCCAAAGUCAUAUUCUCAAAUAAAAAAUUAGUGUUCUUAAUUAUUUAUUUGUUUAUUUUGGUCUACGCAAGGGUAGAGGUCAACAGAAAUCUCACAACUACAGGAGGAAAACUGCACACACUAAGCUACAUUAUCCUCUCCAUUCCAAAUUACGUACCCAAGCUAAAAAAAGGGUAGGUGUAAGCAUAUAUGGGUAAUUUAGGCGUAGAAUGCUUCAGCACGACUACUAGCAGACGUCACGAUGAGAGGGAGAAACUAGAGACAGUUCGCCAGGAAGUUGACAAGAACCGAGAGGGCACCACUAAUCUAGGCACACGUAAGAAACACGCAGUCAAUCGAUCAUGCUUCAGUGCACUGCACACGCGUCAUGCUAGAACAUUUCUGGGCGUAGGUCAUUUUAUUUGGUCAUGGUGUUCUACAUGCGAGUUCACAUUCAAAUCUCUUGCCUUUAAUUUUUCCAUUCAAUCCUAUCCAUUUGAACGUGUAAUGGAUAAAACCUUCAGAAGAAACGAGCAGCAUUAAUUUUACAAGUAAUCAGCACUCGUGUCUCCAGCUUUCUUUACAGUUUACUUCCAAUUUUUUUAACACGGUCCGGGAUUUUGAUGAACAAAGUAUAGACGAGCAUACCUCACCCCUAUGAACACAUGCGUGCACAUCCUACUAAUAUGAGCACCUCUAAGAAACUGAACCGACAUAUUAUCUUGAGAUUGAUGAAGUCGGCACAGACGCCUUCGUCGAUGGGAACGAUUUCUCCCACUGAACGCACAUCGCCGAAAGGCCUAAAAUAAAGCCGGCAAAAUGCAAGCACCGAUUGCAAGUCGAGGCCUUGAACCCAAAAGGGAUGAGGAUACCAUUGUCCUCCUAAUCAUCCAACCAUUGGUUGGUUAGCGUUCACUUCUGGUUUUAUAUCAUGUGUUUAGACUAGACUAGAUGUUUCUCAUGGACUCUAAAAACUGCGCGGGGUCCCAGCCCACCGCUUUAUCCUUUGGCCUCGAUCUGGCGCAGCCGCGCCUCUUUCUCUUACUCAUCCUGGUUCGGAUCCACCCUCCCUACACAUGAAAAGUGUCAACUCUCCCCUGACCGUCGAAUGAGGCCCCUCCUCUCCCCAUAGCAGCACAGCACCGUAUGCCUCCGACCUCGUCCACUACACUGCAAUUCCCCCGGAUGGCUAUUGGAGCCAGCGGUCACCGGAAUGAAUUCCUUGCAAUGGAAUGCGUAGCAGCAUGGCACCCUCGCACCUGACCUCACCAUCACGCUCUCUCUACCAAUGCCUCUCCCCACUGGCAGCGAGAGCCAGCGCCACAAACAUAGUAGCCUCACCAUUCUCAGUACCAGGCACUCCUCCGUCGACCCCCGCCGAUCUCGCCUACCGCUCCAACCUCACCUCGGUCGUCUCCCUAACUCCCCCGCUCUAGCACCUUGGCUCGGUCACCUCCACCUUGCCGACCACCUCCACUGCAUCGCGACGGCUGCGUCCUCGAUUUCAUCUCCAGUAACCUCUUCCUCUUAUUCGAACCCAUGUGAUUUAUUCGCUUGCUGCGACAUGUGGCCCUACUUCUUAUGAGUUUUGGUGCAUGCAAUGUUUGGCCAGUUUCAGAGGCUACAAAUUUCAGAUUUUGUAAGAUAUACAUUUAAAUACGCUGCUUUCCUAAGAAAGAAGGCGUGCACACAUAUCGAAUGUAGUUUAUAGUUAGCAAACAUAGUCAUAAUAGUUUCAUCAUCUUAAGAAGGUUGUCAAAUAUUGCGCCAAUGGAGGUCCCUAAGGAAACUUUGGUAGUACUGCUUAUAGUAUAGGUAAAUUGUGUCAUGAUUAUAUUUUUAUUAAUGCUUCUACCUAUUCAAAGGCAUUGCAGCUAUACAUUUGAUUUUUAAUAGCAGCCUUUGUUGAAAGACAUAAAGAACUCAAAAAUAACUUCCCAUUUUUUUCGAGCACGUGUUUACAUUGUCAUACGAUGUUCAUCUCUUUCUCAUAUCAAGUAUGAGGUGAGGAUAUUCAUUUAUGUGCACACUCUGGUUACUAUUUGAUAAAGUUGAGUAUUCUUGUCUACAUGUUAGCUGGCACCUCCUACACAGUGAGGACUCAAAUAUAUGCAGCUGAUGUGUCUAUUUGUUUUUAUAGCUCAAACAAAAUAAACAUGUAUAGAUUAUUAGCUUAUAUAUGUUGAGCCAGCCAUUUACAGAAUUAUGCUAUUAUCUCAUAUUUCUCAUUUAUUUUCCAGAUUUUUGGAACAACCAUCUUAUGCUUCUGUUUGUGUCUAAUGUCAUUGUGUGUUUAUUAUAUUGUUGUUCAGAAUAAAUCCCAUCAGACUUUGCUCAACUUGAAGUUAACAUGUGAGUAACUAACCAUCACUUGCUUAGUUUGGUUUUCUAAUUCUUUUGAGAAUGCUUAAAAUUUUCAAUGUAGAAUCACAUUGCUUGCGAAAAUUGAUCGGGAACUCAAAACUAUUUUGAUUACUCAUAUCUUGGAUAAAUUUCAAGAUAUAAGUUGUGUUUUUCUUUCCUUUGUUUGAUUAUCAUAAGAAAAAAAGGGAUCCUAGAUACAUGAUAGACAUAUACGAGCGCAGAAUCCUAUGAAUUCCUUUCAAUUGGUCACUCAAUUUGGAACUAUAACAUACAUGAUGGACAUUAACCAUUGAACUAAAUAUAUUUCUAACCUUGCUCUUUGUCAUAUGCCGAAGCAUUGGUUCUCCAGGUGUUUGAUUAAUUAGUAUCUACAUCUUGGCUCUGAACACCAGUUUCAGUCACACAAUUUGUCAUGCGGAAGGGACAGAAAAACUUGUCUUGUAACAUACAAAUAAAGAACACAUGGCACUACUACUAUGAGGUAUGCGAGGUUAGUGAAGGGUAAUACUCGCAUCUUUUCUACUGUUGACCAGGUAAGCACAAAUUUGAGUCAAAAUCAGAAACUCUUUUGGCACAUCAAUUCUUCCAACUUCAGCUACUUUAAUUUGUGGAUUUUUUUUUGAAGGAUCUGGUAGAAUAAGGCUUGUGAUGAAUAUGCAAGCUCCAUUUCAUUCUCGCAUACAACAAAGCAACCCUUUAUAAUAUGUAACCGGUUAACCUUUGACUAUUUGAGUCUAUACGGCAUGUAGUAAAGGUAUUGUAUACUAGGCCAUAUGCUAUACUUCAAAUGCAUGUAAGGCUCAUGAUCUCAUCUUCUGAAUGCAGAAAUUCAAAUAAAGGAAGGUGCACGAUCUUAUGUUGUGAGCAUAGUGUCCUGUUCUGUACAAAGAGUUCAUCAUCGAUGCCUGGUAGCUUUAUUGAUUGUCAGUGGCGGAGCUACAGCAGAAAACCAGGAUGGGAUAAUACAAAGAAAGCCAACUAUUUUUACCAGCAUGGCCCAAUCUACCCAUCAAUCUCCAUUCUAUUUGCUACAGGAUGGACGGGCCAUAGCCUAUUUUGCUAACACGUAGUGCUGCCUGUGUUGAUUGUUGUCGUGUUAACUAAUCUCCAUAUCAAGUGAAUGCUGAAAAUAUGAGAAAUACAUGGCAUGUCAGUUUUAGUUGAGGUUAGAGAAUUAUUUUUGCAUCAUCUUAUGUAGAUUCAAGGCAUACCGCUCUCUUUUCUUACUACACUGAGUAAUUAUAUUUGCUUCUGCAAAAUAAAUCAAAUGUGUCUUCAGUAUGCUAAGCCUGAUGGAAUUCACAUGUUCGUUGUGUUGUUGAAGGUGCAUUAUGUAGGGGAAUGAACCAUACAUAACAUUCAGCUUAUUCGCAUAUAUAAUAUUUUCAGGCAUUCGGCAUCAUGAGCGAAGUGGAUAAGUAGAAAGGAGCAAUCACUGGAGCAUAAUAUAAACUAACGGCUAUCAAGCUAGAUUCAUGUUGGGAAACAAGAUGCCUAAAAAUCAGCUACAGAAACUGGUUAUUUUCACUUUAUGAAGUGUAUAACCUUUUAGCCCAAUGUUCGCUUCAUUAUAUUCCUCCGUUCAUCUUUCUAUAUACGACAUCAAAUUCUGUCCUCGGCCCAAUAAUUUGCACUCUUUUUGAUAGUUCGUAAUCUUCUCAAGCUACUUAGUAAAAUUAAACAACAAGAUGUAAACACGAGCAACCAACAAAUUAAGAUGCAAUUUUGCUAACAACGAGCUCAUACUCAGGCGUUGGCGUGCCGCCGUGUCUUCCGCCUGCUUGUGGAAAGCAUCAACAUGUUUCUAUCCACACACAUUCUGAGAAAGCGUCGAUCAACAUGUUAAAAGAACUUGGUUUUUUUUUUGGAAAUGGAGGCGUACCCCUGGCCUCUGCAUCAUGAUGAUGCAUGCGGCCAUCUUAUUAACAAACCAAAAUCGUCGAACAAGUCUUACAGCUCACAAAACGGAGCAGCCAAGAAAAUCCAAAAAAGGAACAUUACAUGCGAACCGAGUCAACCGGCACAAUGAAGAUAAAUAGGAUAAGCUCUCUAGACUCCUAUCUUGUUAUGCGAGCGCCGUCCAAACCGGUUGAAGAUAACCCGAGCUACCAUCUCCCAUUGGUUGCACCCAGUAACCAAAGGCUCCCUGGAGUCCAUAGGAGUGAGUAAGGACCACGUACGGAUCCAAGUCGUAGCCCUGAAGAUAACCUGCAAAAAAGUUAAAGUGUGUUGUCUAUUAAAAAUCAUAUCAUUCAUGCAGUUCCAUAUAGCCCAUAAUAGCGCACAUAUUUCAAUCCGAAUACGAGCCGCAGUAAUUUUCUCCACCCCAGCUAACCACGUCCCAAACAACGACGCAAUAUCGACUGGUGGAUUAAUAUUAAAAGCUAUAUGAAUCGUUCUCCAAAGUAAUUUGGCAAGUGGGCAUUCAAUAAAUAAGUGUUGUAUUGUUUCGUCAUGAUCACAAAAACAGCACCGCGAAGAACCUACCCAUCGCCUCUUAAUUAGGUUGUCCUUGGUGAGCAUCACUUGCUUAUGAACAAACCACAUGAAAAUUUUAAUAUGCAAAGGGAUCUUAACUUUUCAAAUGUGAACCGACCGAGAUAGGGGGCUGGAGUUAAUGAGAUCCAUAUAAAAAGAUUUCACCGUAAAUCUCCCAUUCGAAGUUAAUUUCCAUUGAAUUGAAUCCGGUUGAUCGGAGAGUUGAACUUCUAUCAAUCUCCGAACCAGGUGCAUCCAGGCGGUCCAUCUCUCACCAACUAACACUCGUCUGAAUUGGAUGUUCAAGGAAAUUAUUUGAAGGACGGUACCCACGUAAUCCUCCUUACCUUGUACAAUAUUAUAGAGUGUAGGAUAUUGGAUGGCCAAGGGUGUCUCUCCUAGCCAUGUGUCUUCCCAAAAUCUUGUUGACAUACCAUUGCCAACUAAGAAUUUUACUCUACGAAAGAAUAGGUCCUUCGUGCGCGUCCCUUCCAGAACGGUGAAUCAGUCGGUCUCAUGGUAACCUGGGCAAGCGUUUUCGAAUGCAGAUACUUAUUACGCAAGAUUUGAGACCACAUACCCUCCGGCUCAGUCUCCAGUCUGUAGAGCCAUUUGCUCAUAAGACAUUUGUUCUUGAUUUCUAAGUUUUCAAUGCCGAGACCCCCUUGGUCUUUAGGUCGGCAAAUGAUAUCCCAUCGUGCGAGACGAUAUUUCCGCUUGGCCUCAUCGGACUGCCAAAAGAAGCGAGAUCGAAAGAAAUCAAGACGCUUGCGAACUCCUUUCGGAACUUCGAAGAACGAUAGAAGGAACAUCGGCAUACUAGUCAGUACUGAGUUAACCAGGACUAGCCGACCUCCAUAUGACAUAAGCUUAUCCUUUCAGCAGCUUAGUUUUUUUUCAAUUCGUUCUUCAAUACAUUUCCAAUCUUUAUUGGAGAGUUUACGGUGAUGGAACGGUAUAUCCAAGUAAUUGAAUGGUAAGCCCCCUGACUCGCACCCAAACAGUUGUAUGUAUUUGUGCUCCUCGUCUUUGGCCUUCCCAAAGUAACACCUCGCUCUUAUGAAAAUUUAUUUUUAGGCCAGACAAUUGUUCGAAGAGACAUAAGAUAAGCUUCAUAUUACGAGCCUUAGCCAUAUCAUGUUCCAUGAAGAGAAUAGUGUCAUCAGCAUAUUGUAGAAUGAAAACCCCUCCACCGACAAGAUGAGGAAUUAGACCCUCUACGUGGCCAUGCUGCUUGGCCCUGCCAAUAAUGACGGCUAGCAUAUCUGCCACAAUAUUAAACAGAAGAGGAGACAUGGAAUCACCUUGUCGUAACCCCUUAUGUGUCUGGAAAUAGUGACCAAUGUCAUCGUUCACCUUGAUUCUGACACUACCUUUCUGGACUCGGUAAAAGUUAGUAACUCUCAGGGCAGCUGCGGACAAGUCUCAGCUUCUCCUGCGCAUUUCUUAAUCUCCCGCAUUAUUCAACUCUUGCUGGCAGACUUGACUAAAAUAUAAAGCAGUGGCGCAGAGUCACACUCGUUCGCUGGUCUAUGAUCUCUCAUUAUGGAAAUAUCCUUAACUGCACAAAGGACCAGAACUGAUCAACGACUAGUCCUCACACGUGCCGCUCGCUGCAGCGUAAUUACCAGACGGCUACGAGCUACGCUCCCGCGCCUCGGUGUCGCAUACGAGCGCCUCACUCUCACCCGUUGUGGACGAUUUUGUGGCCAAAAUCCGAUAGUUCAGAGGCCUAUAUAUCAACAACGGGAGUGAUAUUAUCUCCUCUCCUGCCCGCCAGCAUGCAUGCAUGCAUGAGUCCGGUUUUCCAAGUUUAACUCAAGCAGCUGACAGGCACGUAGUACAACAAUUUGGAGUAAAUUUAUUUUUUUUGAAUUUUACAAUUUGUUGUAAUUAAGAGAUGAACCCUUUGAUUGAUGAACUGACCGGUGUGUCUGCGGACCAUGACUGCGUGAUCACUGUCAUGGUUGUUGUGCAGCAAACGUGGUCGAGAUUUGCAGUAGUACUUGAUUUGACAAAUGUAGAUUGACCCGGUCCGAGCAUGGCCGAUCGAGACUACGCACGAACGGUUCCAGGAAGUCCUCAGCCUAUUUUACAGCAGCAGGAAGCUGCCCUGCUCUUGCCCUCCCGAGUCCACUGUGUUCACCUUUUAAUUUUCCACUCUUCUGAGAUGAAACUCCAAGCAGCUAGCCACUUGGUGCGAAUCCCCCUGUGAAACACGAGGACGGCUGCGAAAAUGAAAGGAAAAAUAGGAAGAGGAAACUUGGUGCCUCCGUUACAUGAAGCUUCAUGCCUUGUGGUGCCGGAUAGAUAAAUUACAGUUAAAAUAGGAGAUAUAUGUUUUUCGGGUGAAAAAAGGGAUAGAUAGAUUGAGCUCGAUUUGAAUUGUCUUGUCUUUCCCUUUGUGUUGAGCCAGUGCUUCCCAUCGGGAAUAUAUCUGAUGCACCCAUCCUUGUGGUGCUACCAGUGCAUUGAAUGCCGUAGCACACUUCAAAAUGUUUGGAAAAAACUGAAAACAAUUUAGCACACUAACACGAUAUUAAUGUAUGUUGUCAAGAAAUUUCAUAUCGAAAAUCAAAUUUGGCAUACAAACAAUGACAAAAUUGAUGUCAAUGUGAUAAUAGGCCAUAUCAAAAGCCUAACUUAUGUUAUGUCCUAUUCAUUGUCGAAAUUGUCAUUUUUUUUUAAUUUUUAGCUAUCUUUUGAAUUUUCAUUUAAUAUUUUGUGACAACAUACAUUGAAGUUGUGUGAAUGUGCUACUUUUUUCAGUAAUUAUUGAGUAAUUUCAAAUAAGCUACGGAUGUUUGGUGCACCGAGUGCGCUACAAGGAAUGGUGCACUAGAUAUUCUCCCCCUCUAACCUUCCUCCCAUCUUGCCCUUUUUUGCUCUCUUUGUUAUUCCCAUUUUUAGGCGCUAUAUUCCGUCAGUUUUCUGAUUCCCAUUUGUACACUUUUCUACCACUAUUACUAAGUUUUCUUCGGGCAUUUAUACUUACUUUAUCUUUUUGUUCUUUCCAUUUUACACGUUUUCACAAAAUUUAAAAACUUCCAUAAAUUUUUUAAAAUUGCAUGGUAUUUUUAAAAAUGUAGAAGAAUUUUAGGAAGUAUUCACAAUGUUUAAAAAGUAUUUAUGAAUUUCAAACCAUAUUUGCAAAUUAAUCAGAAUGCUCACAGGCUUUAGAAAUUCUUCGUUAAAUUUAGUUACGCUAAUGUUUUUUAAAAAGGAGCAAAACACUUACAAAAAUUAAAUGGGAAUUUUGGAAUAAAAAUAUCCAUUACAUUAAUUAAAGUUGUUCAUGUAAACUUAAAAUAAUUGUUCAUUUUUUUAAAUGUUCAUGUAAUUUCAAAAGGUGAUCAACUACUUUAAAAAAUCAUGCAGCUUUAAAAAGUGUUCACACAUUUUCUGUUCAGGUUAUUUGUCAAAAUAUGUUUAGAACUUGAAAAAAAAUACAAAAAAACAAAAGAAAACCGGGUAAAGACCAAAGAAACAACAAAUAAUAAUUAAAAAGCGAUGGAAAUCAAAGGAAGUAAGAGCAUCGACAGUUGGGCUCCCAAACUGACCACCCCCAUACGUCCGGGCAGAUGGCCCGAUCACUAACCGGUAAAAAAAACGAGCCAGACGGGCUCCUCAUACCUGCUCUAAACGUCCAGCCGACCGGCACCUUUCACAUCCAAUCCAAAUGUGGGGCGGAUAUGAAGAGGCCCAGGCGAGUUCGCUACAUCGGCCGCGUCCAUAGACAUUGCGGGUCUAUUCGGUUAGGUCAGUUAUAUGAACGACUAGGUGUUUGCAAACUUUGAGAGGCAUUAACAUGAGGUUGGGUACAUCCAUAUUAUUAUCUCCGUCCUGUCGAGAUGAGGAGGGUGAUAGAAGGAAUUAGGUAUCGGUCGCCAAGUAGGUACUAGUAGUACACAGGAUCACAUGCCGCUACCUCUCCGGUUUCUGGUUGUGCAAAUAUGAUAGACCCAAAAAGAGACGGCAAAGCGCAACGACGAAAGCCACGGCGUGACUGAACGAACGAACACCUCCACCACGGCACCGGGGCCGGACGAAUCGUUGCUACUUUAUUAUCAGGACAGCCGCCGUGAAUUAUAGGGAGAAGAAUAGAACGUGCGGCAGUACUACGGAGUAUUAUUAAUUCUUAUUAUCCAGGAACGUUCGUUCUACCUUUCGAUCAACCGAUCAUCGUCAGCAAGCAAGCAGCAGCAGCAGCAGCAGCAGCCAGGUGCAAGGUGCCUCUGCCUUUUUACCUUUUGGAUCGGAUUACGUGCGCUCGUCACCCUUGCCGACGGAGCGUGCGCCUUUUUUCGUGUCGCGUUCAUCGACGUCGGAAAUGGAGCGCCGCUCCCUGAUCUAACUGUAGCAGCUUCCUUUGAAAAGAACGCGGCAAAGGAAAAAGAAACGGUGGAACUCACAAUUCCUUAGGAAUGUGUAGAAAUCCUGUGAAGCGAACGGGCCCUUAGACUUUUAGUCUAUCUUAUAAUCACUUUUAGUAUCUUCUUAAGUAUAUCAAGGAGGGUGUGUGAAUGAUGGUGCUUUCUAUCUCUGUUGGUUGCUUCCUUUCAGACUCCAGUCAUGCGUCAACCAAAGUGGACUUAGGCCAACUCCACCGCGCGACCCUAUCUUGUCCGGCCCCGUCCGUUUGGUGUAAAAGGGACAAAUGAGACGGCCCAGCGCGCAACGGCCCGGACCCAUCUGGUUCGUUUUGUGUCCUUGCCGAUCCAUUUCGAGCGCAAACUUGCGCCGGGUUUGGGUCGCGGCUGACAGCGAACGGACGCUUCGAACGUCCGCGUCGGGGCCGCGUGGCAGGCGGCCACCUACCUCCCACCCGCCAACAUAAAUGCGCACGGGCGGGUGGCCCCACCUGUCAUCCGCACAGCGACGGGUCGGCGUCCUUCUUAAAUGGGACCCGUGGACCGGUCGUCGUCCUCAUCCCCACGCCGGCCCCUCUCUGCUCCCUCGAAAGUCGACACGCCCAAACCCUAGCCACUCCCCGCCCUCGAGCUCGCCGGCCGGCCGCGACCAUGGGUCUGUGGAACCACAAGGGGAAGCACGACCGCGAGGCCGGCUCCUCCUCCGGCCGCCGCCGCGGAUCCGUGAAAAAGGAGGAGCCCGCGUCAUCGCCGCGCUCCUCCCGUCGAGCCCCCGCGUCACCGCCGCACUCCUCCCGUCAAUCCCCCGCGCCGUCCCCCUUCACCAUUGCCCCUAGGUCCUCCGGCGAGCGCGACCGGAAGUACAUCUGCGCGGACGUGUGCCGGAGGUACUGGGAGACGAGGACGCCGGUCCCGUGGAGCGACGCCCACCUCCCCAACGGAUGGCACCUCUCCUCGGACCGGGUCCCCAUCCCGCCAGUGCCGGCGACCGGCCGUGCACGGCGUGAUGAGAUCAACCGCCGCCGCCGCCUCCUCCCCGACGACCUGUACUAUGACCAUAGGUACGCCCCCGACUCCCCGCUGUGGGACACAUGGCUCCAGGACGAGCACGACGUGCGGCGCGCGUCCUACUUCGCCGGCACCGUGUCGGGGCCGCGGAGGCCACAUGCAGAGCCGUGCGGGCGUACGCGGGUGCGCGGCCUGACGCCCACGCCGUCGCCUUCCCCGUCUCCGUCGCCACCUCCCCCUCCUCGCAUGACAGCGGAGGAGGAGGCCCGUCUCCUGCAGCGUGUUAUGGACGACUCCAUGAACACGCACGACGAGCGGCAGUGGGAGGGCCUGGAGGAGGCCAUCGCCCUCUCUGCCGCCGGGGACGUCGCGUUCCCGGAGCUGCAGCUGGCGGCCGUCACGGAGGAGCCGAUGGAGGAGGACUCGCCCGCGUUCGAGCAGCUGCUGGGCCAGGGGUGGGGCUGGUCCUGCACUGCGCCGGAGAUGGCCGCCGACCUGGGCAUGAACCGGUGCCCACUCCGCCGCGGUCACCGGAGCGGGAGGCGUCGCCACGGGAGGAGGUGGUGCAGGCACCUCCGGCCGUCCAGCCUGCCCCCGUCUACCACGCACCGCUGCCCCACCUCUGGACGCCGCCGGAGUACGUCGACCUCGUCAGCGACGACGACGACACCGGCGGCCAGCGAAGACGGCGACGGCCACGGCACCAACGGGCGCGGCAAGAGCGCGCCGGAGGAGUUUUAUUUUAUUUUAUUAUUAUGUUAAUUAUGAAACUGGGCCUUUUAAGUGGCCGUUGAAACUUGGCCGUUUUGUGCCCGACCCCUAUAUAUGUUUUAUGUUUUUUUAAAUGCGUUUAUUUGCUUUUUUUAGUUAUUUCAUUCAGUUUUUUAUUCCCGUCCACCCCAGACACGAUUUGGGGUGCGGCCGCGCGGUGGGCGCACGCACGACCCAACGGACACAACCAGACACGGGCGAACCCAUCGGCUCCCCAAACGGACAAAAUCCAGCCAAUUCGGACGUCCGUUUGGGAUCGUGUGGUGGAGUUGGCCUUAUAAUACUGUGCAGGAUUCCGAGAGAUUUGGGCAGAAUAUACCUAUCACUACCAGAGAGCCGGACUACUCUAGGUAGUACUACCUCCGUCCGAAAAUACUUGUCAUCAAAAUUGACAAAAAGAGAUAUAUCUAGAACUAAAAUACAUCUAGAUACAUCCCAUUUUAUUCAUUUGGAUGACAAGUAUUUCCGGACGGAGGGAGUAGCUAGGAGUAGUACUAGCAGAGCGUUGGAAGCAUGUGGUGCGGGGCGUUGCUGGGGGACGCAGCUUCAGUGACGUUGUGAAGCCAAGUCACGCAGCGCCUUAGCCCACUAUAUCAGCCACUCAUUGUACAUCUGAUGGACAGGAUUCACUCAAGGCAAAAAAAGGCCCAGCUUCAGCAGUUUCAGCGGAAAAGACGAGGCGGGGCGAGGUGUUUUGGCGGGGUGUCAUCCAGUUCUCCCGCGCGGCGGCGAAGGUUUGGCGGGAGCGCCACCUUCGAGAGCCUGAGAAAGAGAGAGGCGAGAGGCGCUGCGUGACUUGUGCCUCACUGCCUGGAGCGUGUGCAGUGCCUCACUGCUUUACUCACAUCACUGUAAAUGAAAACUACCAAGACUGGGCCUUUUUGCCUUGAGUGAAUCCUGUCCAUCAGAUGUACAAUGAGUGGCUGAUAUAGUGGGCUAAGGCCCUGUGUGACUUGGCUUCACAAAGUCACUGAAGCUGCGUCCGUUGCUGGGCGCCCCUGCCUGGUCCCGUGCCUCUUCCAUCCAGAUCUCGCGCGCUAUUUCUAUUUACCUGUCAGGCUAUCAUCACCAAGCUAGUACUGUAGUAUCUCCGCAACUGUGGACUGUUGCUUGGCAGGGAGAUUCAUCAAUCACUCAUGUGAUCAGUCUCGUGCCUGGAUCAUCGUGGCUGAACCUGCAUCAUCCGACGACUGACGACGGUGGUGCGUUGUCAGCUCGCCAUUCGGCCACGGGCUGGUCGAUGGCUGCGUGUGCAAUGCAGUGCAAUCAGGCACGAGGAUGUGGACUAGCGGAGGAUGUUACGGAAACGUCGCUGGCUUGGCCUCGGCGCGUGCAUGUGGACUAGCGGCCCGGGCGGGGGGAGGUGGCGUCUGCUUGCCGGCCGGCCUACGCAUCGCGCUGCCCCGGGUCGCGCCCUCCCCGGCCUCGCCUCGCCACGCCCUCCGCAGCGCGCGCGAUGUGGGUUCCGCCCGAGUCCACCUGUCCCCCUUUCAUGGAUCAAUCGCUUUACCAGCGUCCUCUUCGGCCGAGCUUAAAUCUUCUGCGUGUUUACCUAUCUCUGAUUACUAAAAAAAGAACGGGAGGGACGGCGCCAAACGUCUUGAUCGUUGCACACCUAUACAUGGAUGAGCAAAUAACACUAGUAGUACAUCAAAAAGGGCAAAACUAAAGGCAUCUCCAAGGGCCUCCCCUAGACUGCCGUAUAUGUCUGUCUGGAUACAUUAUGGAUAGAAGGAUAUGAGAGCAUCUACUGCCGGGCUUCCAAAUCCUAUACGCCCGGACAGACGUCCCGGUCACUGAUCGGUCAAAAAAGUCAAACCAAACCCCUCAAGUCCGGGACGUCCUGGUCACUGAUCGGUCAAAAAAAAAAACCAAACACUAUCUUGUGCCCACCUCGAACACUGACACGAGUGAUGUCCGUAGUCUAAUACCCACCCCAAGCAUCACCCAUAAACACGCCUGCUGUCCUGCAUGCUACCCCAAUACGUCCUAGCCGAUGUCGUCCACCUCAGACACCAUAUGUUUUAACACUGUUUGACCACUUCUUUUCACAUAUCUGGAGAACACAUGUGAUGGUUUUACUUAAAACGAGUUCAUUGACUCGUCAUCAUUGGAUGGCGAUACUGACGAUUAUGAAUCAUGAUGAGUAUCAUCGAAGCAAUGGAGAAGGGAGAUGUGCAUGCUCUCAACCUCAAGGGUUCUACCUCGGGCAGGAUAACUAUUAAUCGGGGUAGGAAAAGGUCCAUGUUGAUCUAUAUUGCGCCUCUUUUUCAGCCAAUCCGAUAUUUCAGGAGGGCAUGCAUGGUGCUACAAGCUCGCUCAGCUUUUCUUUAUGGGCCUGCUACUACCUGGGAUCCUUAGAUAUUGCGGGCGGUGGUAACUACACAUGUGAUGCGCAACAUGGCUGUGGAGGAUGAUGGAGAUGAUUUGGGUAAAUGUUGAUUUUGAUAGAUCCGGUUGCGCAGAGAACAUACUUCUCGAUGAUUUCAUAGACCCUUUGUGGAUACAUUAUGGAAACCAAUAGAUUUGUGAUGUCCUUCAUUUUUUUUAAUGUUUGAACAAUGUCCUCUAAAAAUAUAUUUGUGUUUGAACACUAUAUUCCUAAUUUAAACUAUUUUUUUAAUUUGCAUGAUUUAUUUCUGUGUUUAAACUGUAUGCCUUUGGUUGGAAAAAAAUGAGCAAAAAUGUUGACUGGCUAAAUGUGGGAGGACAAAUGGGGGACGCCGUCGGGCCUCCUUUUUUUUGCGGACAAAUGGGCUGUGUCGCCGGGGACAAUGCGAGAUGGCAUCUGUUGGUUGCCACUAGAGAUGCCCUAAAACCCCUAAUGAAUAAUGAUUGUUGGAACUCGUCCAUAAGAUCGAUCACAUCAAAUCACACGAUGAACAGGCACGCGCAAAAACUUUUGCCAAAAGUGUCGUGCCUCUAUUUUUCUCUUUAUUUAUUUUCUCCUUUUCUCUUCCGGUGAUGUUACAAAACUCACGCAGGGCUGUAUAUUUAUACGGAAAUGUUAACGCCCACACGUGUGGGCGUUGACCAUCUCGACCACACGCAUCCAUCACCGUCCAGUACUAUAUGCAUGAAUUUUGGCAUAAUCUGGCUGAUUUUCUGUGCCACGUAGGACAAGGCGUGUGUGUGGUGUGUGACAUAGUUCGUCCACACAUCCGUUUUACCACACGGAGGGGCCGAUGUGUGGGCGUUUAGCAGUUCACCCACACACCAGUUUUCAGUCACGCACAAGGGCUGGUUUGUGGGCAUUUGCCAUCUCGCCCACACGCCCGUCUCCUCUCCCACACCCCAGCUGCUAGUUGCCAUGUGUUUUUACAGCGCACAUGGCAACUGCCCCUAGUGUGCUUUAUAAGCAGGUGGCAACUCUCUUUUUUUACCCGAGUUGCCAUGUGUUUUUGCAGGGUAUAUGGCAACUGCCUAGUGUGCACGUAAGCAGAUGGCAACUCUUUUUUACCGAGUUGCCAUGUGUUUUUGCAUGGUACAUGGCAACUGCCCCAACGUGCACGUACAUGGCAACUGCCCCAACGUGCACGUUAGCAGAUGGCAACUUUUCCUUUUUACAUGGCAACUGCCCUAGCAUGCUUGUGAGCACAUGGCAACUCUCUCAACUGCCUAGUGUUAGUAUGUGACAACUCCUAAAGUUAUGAAAUCAUGGCAACUACAUUAGAUCAGACCAUACAUGGCAACUGCAGUUGAGCAAUCAUGGCAACUACAGUUGUCCGACAUGGCAACCGUAGUUCAGCGACAUGGCAACUGUAGUUAAAUGAACAUGGACGAGGGUCUGGACCAUGGCAACUGCGGGCGCGCGGUGGGCGUCACGCAUCGCGUGCGGGACCAGGAGGGUACGAGGCCUGACAUACGGGCGUGUGGGCGUUAUCAACUUCGCCCACACGCACGCAUGUGAGAAGGUUCGGGAGGGAAAAAAAGAUAUGUGUGGGCAUUAGUUGUUUUGCCCACACAUAGGUGUGUGGGCUGGUUGUUGUCCGUGCCACACGAGGCGUGUGACACAACUAUCCGAUACACCACACGUGUGGCAGUUAUCGGGACCCAUAUUUAUAUACAUGCCCAACCCACCUAACCUGAUCUAAAUCCAUACGGAUACAAAGUCCUAGCGGACUUAUAUUCCUAAUCUAAUUUCACGGCAACGCUGAUCAUCCUGUUAGACUUAGCUACUAAACCUAACAGCACACGAUGACAAGAAUCCUAGCCGGACUAGACUCCAACGCGUUUACAAAACUCUAAGAUUAUUUCUAACAAUGAUGAUGUAUGCUUUGAGAAAGGGGUCACCCCACCGAGGAGUAUGCACAAUUGGCAUCACACACGUUUCAUCCUUUAAAACCAUCUCCUGCUCCAUGGAAAAUUUGCGCAGUUGAGUACCCGCACGUCAAUAUUGCGCUGGUGAAAGAAUAGCUCAAGUUACCAUCUCACCAUCACAACACGUGUAUGCGAGAGACGUCUGGGCAUGCAGGGCAAAACAGCUCGAUCGGUAACUUGUCCGACUCGUACACAUUCGCAGGUCACAAACUGAUCACAAGUCGCCGGUGGAGUCGCUGUUACAGAACGAAGUGGAGACGGCCGCUGCUAGCUACCCCAGCUAGAGCCUCUAGAGUCUAGACUAUACACUCGAGCAUGGCGACCGGCAGGACAGGGUCGCGGUGCGUGCACCACCAAUCCGGACCGGAGCCAAAUAAGAUCUCGAUAUUUCCCGGACUCGUCGCCGCUCUAUCAACGCGGGAACAAUCCCGGCUGCGGCUGGCGGCCGGAGCCCGCCGGCCGAAAGCCACGAUCGUCGUCCACGCAACGGCCAACGGGAGCAGUGUGGAGAUAGAUGCGGCUUUCGUUUGAGUGGUGGAUGCGUCGAGCGGGAAUACGCGAUCGUGGGAGAGAGAGAGGAGGAGGAUGGGUCCCGGCCGCAGCCACGCGGCGUCUCGACGCGGUCCUGCCGCGGGCGGAUCUGGUUGGAUUCCUUCCUCCCGUCAUGGACGACGCAUGCAGGGCCGCAGGGGUCAUGUCACUUUCGUUGGAUUCGUGGCGCAGAGCGCAGAGGCCGUUGCGAGCAUGCGGAAAAGCAGACGGCGCAGGGGGCCGGCCGACGGGUCUGUCUAUCUUUUCGCCUCGCGCCGCUCGAAUCUCGCCGUUUGCUCGCUCGCACGGGUCCUCUUUGCUGUGCUCGGUACUAGUACAUACUACUAUCGAUCUCAAUCCCCAAUCGAACGGAUGGUGGGUGCUCGAUCAAUCACAAGACCGUGAACAAGCUUUUCGUUUACACAAGACCGUAGGAUCACAUUUUCUUUUCCAAAGACAUUUCGAUCACAAAUUUGUACUUCUACCUCACAGGAAAAAAAUUAUUUUAGGGAAGCUCAUCAGGGAAUGGGGAGAUCUCACAACUGCAUUGAAAAGAAGAGGGUCAAUUCAGUUUAUAGGCGAAAAAUCAAACGCUCCUGCAAAAAAAAAAAAGAGUAUCAAGCACAAGAACAACACAAAGCACGAUUAAUUUGGAAAUAACUGGUCGAUAGUCUGACCCCAUCUUCACCGCGACACGGAUGAGAGAAAUUAUAUAACCUGAAGGAAAGCAAACAUGGGCCUCACCAAAUGAAUGAAGAAAGAUGAACCGCACUGCCAAGCAAAUAGCGCCUACCCAUCCAUUGAACCCCGAAGCCAGUGGCUGCCCAACGGAUAUCACCAAAGCCAACCAUGCCAAGUCUCUAAAUGACGCAUCUAGGGAGGAAAUAAUGUCAAGGAUGUCGAAUAUUUAGGCAUUUUUUUUGUUAAGUUUAAUCCUGAAAAACUGUUGUUAAAAUAUGAUCAACAUGAUAGAGAGAAUAACUGACACAUGCAACAGAUUGUUGAAACUAGUCAUGCAAUUGAGAUCAUAAGCAACAAACAUCAUAUCCAUGUCGAUCACUACUAGCAGUCGUGCAGAACCACUCCCCAUAAACCUAACGCCCUCUCCUGUAUUGGAUCACAAGAAGGCGCCCUUUCAGAGGCAUGUUGUCUUACUCCAUGGUGUACGCCGAGGAGCGAGAUGGGAAAGAGAUAGGCGGCUCAAUGUUUUGGACCGAGGCGAGGAGGUGUGUGUUCUGGCCAUAGAGGAGGGACCUCUUAUAUAGGCCUCGAACAUGGAGAGGAGGAGGAACAAACGUCCACUAGGGAGAGGAAGAGAAACAAUUCGCAAAACUGUUCAAAUUCGUCUCCCUCUCGAAGACAAAGUGUUUCAACUUAUUUUUCUUGCGUGGCAAAAAUUUAAGGAGCGCGCACAUGUUGCAUAGGUCAUAGCGCGGCUCGGCUCAAUCCGACAACCAGCGACACGCGUCGUGGCAAGGCGGAUGACGGAGGAGGAGCAGGCACCGUGGCGAGGCAUGGCUUGGCGAGACGGGCGGAGAAGGAGGAGCGCAUGGGAAUAUGCUCUCUCCUCAAGAUUUAGUGGUAUGUGGAAAAACAAACCUUAUAAAGAGAUCUCACACUUCCUCCACUAUCGUGAUGGGACUAAACUUUCUACACCACCUUGCCAUGCAUGAAUGGUCACGUGGGCCUCUGGGAUUUACUAUGAAUUAUUGGCAAUAUUCUGAAAUACUAAAUGGGCUAGGCCCAAUAGUUCCAACAAUCCCUCACAAGAUCCCACAUCAAGUUUUCCUAUUGUUCCAAAACAUUGUUUAUAUAUGGUGUUUCAUUGAAGACUGUUAAGUUAAACUUCAACAUAGUACUCCACGCUACACUCGUUGACAACUUGAACAAUGGACUAUGCCACCCUCAAAAAAAACAAUGGACUAUGCCUUCAAGUGCAAGUUUUGUGUAAACAAGUUUCACGUAAAAGCCUUGACUGAUACUAGACCGCUGAAAACUUUUCCGGGGUAGGAGCAUAUACGUCAUACUCCAGGGCCUCUUUAUGAGUUUAUUAGAGAGCACCCAACUCUCAUAGCAUGUGACGUUUAACAGUCUAACUAAUAUAGAAGUGUUCUUUCCAUAUGUUCUGCAGGACAACAUCUUUGCCUACCCAAGCCAUUUAGAAAACAUUAAGAUAAAUAUCAGCUUGUCAUUCAUAUUAGGAGAAAAUUGCAUCAUAACAGAGUAUAUCUUUAUAAAAUAAAGAUUCUCCUGUGAGUUAUUCAAUAGCCUGUCUCAUCAGUUCUAAUUCACGGGAUCUCCGAUCACAGGGAAUGGGUUACCACCAUGAACAAUUUAUGUGGUGGAUCUCAAUCCAAUCUCAUUCAAUGCAUUGUGUAUCACAUUUGGUGAUAAAUCCAUUGUGAAGGGAUCUGUCAGAUUCCUUGAUGUGUUCAUAUAGUCCAAUGCUAUAACCCGGGAAUUUCUCAUAAACCUGAUAGGUUUCAGUCGCCUUCUCACAUGUAUUGAUGUCUUCUUAUUAUCCUUCUAAAUGUUUACCUUGACGAUCGUCGUCUGAUUAUCAUAGUUCAUUAGAAUAGCCAGUAUUGGUUUUUUCAACCACUGGCAAAUCCAUCAAAAGUUCUCGAAAUCAUUCUGCUUCAACUAUUGUCGUGUCUAACACUGUGAGUUCUGCUUUCAUUGUUGACCGUGUUAAGAUGGUCUGCUUGCAAGACUUACAAAAAACAUAUGUGACAAGCCAAGCAAUAAAAAUGAUGACUACGUGAAGCAAAGCUUACAUGGCCAUUCACCACUUGAGUAUGGUAACCAUAAAACUUGUUCACAAACUCUUGGACAGUGGCUCAUCUAUGUUGGAGAGAGCUCUUGUUACGGGUGGUAUGAAUAGGAUGCAGGUCCACAUAAUGCUUGUGUUCAUGGUGCCAAGCAUGGAUUUUCCCCCAGUAUUCAGAGCCCCUUUGCUCGGUUCCACAAAUAGGAUUCAUCCUUGUGACCCACCAUGCAUUCACGCCAAGGCAUCUUCAUGGGUUGAGAAUAUCAGACCUAUUGCCUCUAGAGUCUUCUUUUUUUAGUGCGCGAGGAUUGCCCAACACAAAAUAAAGAUAAAUUGGUAUCACCCAUUUCAUAAUUUGGCGGUUGUUGACCAUCCUUCAUCAAAUUUGUCAUCACAGAAUCCUAAAGAUGCAUCACAAUGAUACAACCAUUCUGAAAUUGGUCAAAAAUGCAUAUGGGGCAAGUAAAAAACUUACAGAUUUUGGUCCGGACUUUUGCCGAACAGAUGGUGGGAAUGACCGACACAGGGGAUGCCCGACGUUGUCUGCGACCGCUGGAAUUGCGACGAGUCGUACGUUGUGUCUAUUGGGGAACGUUGCAUGGAAAACAAAAAAAUUCUAUGCACACGCAAGAUCUAUCCAUGGAGAUGCAUAUCAACGAGAGGAAAGAGUAUGUCUACGUAUCCUCAUAAACCGUAAAGCGGAAGCGAUUAUCAAUGCGGUUGAUGUAGUCGUACUCCUUUACGAUCCGCCCGAUCAAGUACCGAACGUACGACACCUCCGGUUCAGCUCGGUGACGUCCUCGCCUUCUUGAUCUAGCAAGACGGGCAAAGUAGUAGAUGAGAUCCGGGCGGCACGAGGACGUGGUGACGGUAGUGAUGCAACUAUCUCCGCAAGGCUUCGCCGAGCACUACGAAAAUAUGACCGAGGAUGAACUAGAGAGAGGGGCGCCGCACACGGCUAGGGAAUCAUGGGCCCCUCUCUCUCCUCACAUAUAUAUAGGUGGAGGGGGGAGGGGAGGCAACCCUAGGGGCGCCCCAAGGUGGUCGAAGGCCACCCUAGGCUCCUGCCCUAGGCGCCUCCCCCUUUUCCUUAUUUAGGAGUGGAGGAUAUGGUAGGGGAUGGGCCGGCAGCUGCCCUGCCUUGGCGCCCCCCUUUCCUUCCUUGGCAUGUGGCCAGGGGAGUUGGACUGCGUCCAGCCCCUUAGUGGGAUGGUGCGCGUCCCUCCUUUGGCCCAUGAGGCCCACCAAGUGUCGCUGGCCUUCUGAAAUCCUUUUCGGUACUCCGAUAAAACCCACUACAUUCCGAAACCUUUCCGGUGACCAAAUAGUAUCGUCCUAUAUAUCAAUCUUUACCUUCGGACCAUUCUGUAGCUCCUUUUCAUGUCCGCGAUCUCAUCUGGGACUCCAAACAACAUUCGGUCAUCAACUCACAUAACUCAUAUAAUAAUAUGUCGUCAACGAACGUUAAGCGUGCGGACCCUACGGUUUCGAGAAUGAUGUAGACAUGACCGAGACACCUCUCCGGUCAAUAACGAAUAGCAGGACCUGAAUGCCCAUAUUGGUUCCUACAUAUUCUACCAAGAUCUUUAUAAGUCAAACCUUUAUGACAACAUACGUAAUCCUUUUGUCUGUCGGUAUGUUACUUGCCCGAGAUUUAAUCGUCGGUAUCUUCAUACCUAGUUCAGUCUCGUUACCGGCAAGUCUCUUUACUCGUUUCGUAAUGGGCCAUUUGCAUUUCUGUCCCUAACUCGAACCCACUACUCACAUUUGCCCCUAAUUGAAAAGCCUGCUAAAAAUGCCCCUCCGCCGUUAGGUGUCCUUAUAGAAAUGCCCUUCCGUGCCGUUUCCGUUAGGUCAAAGGCCUUUGACCGUCUACGAGACGUUUCUUGGACAUUUUGCCCCUGCCUCCAUGUGUCACUUACAUGUGGGACACACUUAGGAAAAAAUAAAAAUAAAAACACUUUCUCUCACCCCCUCUCUCUCUCACUUACAUAUGGGCCCAGAAAAGGAAAAAGAAAAACCUCUCUCCCACAUCUCUCUCUAACUUACAUGUGGGGCCUAGCAAAAAAUAAACAAAAGAAAAAAGCUAUCCUCUGUCUCCCGACCUUGCAGUUUCUCUCAUCUCCGGCGAACUACAUCCGACGGCCGGCGGACCGGUCCUCGCGCCGCCACUGGAGCUGGCUCGCCAUGCUCCUCCACCAGCUCACCGCGCCUGGUCGGCAGCUCGCCGCGCUCCGCUGCCCUGUCCAUCAUCUCCGGCGAACUACAUCCGACGGCCGGCGAAUCGGUCCUCGCGCCGCCACUAGAGCUGGCUCGCCGCGCUCCUCCACCAGCUCACCGCGCUCGGUCACCAGCUCGCCGCGCCCGGUGUGAUUAAUUGGAUUGAACCGCCCAAUAAUGACAGAUCCUUCCUCGUCUUCCCCAGCUCCGGUGUCACGCCGCCGCCGCUCGAUCUCCUCCACCAGUGAGCAUUGCAGCCUUACCUUGGGUUCUUGAGUUUCGAAAUCUCCUCCUGAACAUCCUCCGCCUGCUCCCGAUUAUCCUCUCUCCUCUAGAAGCUCUGCCGGCGAGCACCUCCCGUCGCCACCGCUCAAGCUCGCGACUUCCCAUCCUCCCCGACACCCCACAUUCUCUGGCCACCUUAGGCCACUGAAGCUUCUCUCCUGCACCCUCACAAGCCCGAUCUUGAAGCCAAUCGACUGCUCCGGCGGCCUCCCAUACAUCACCGUCGUGUCUUCGUCGCGGCCGCCGGCGUGUUUUUAGUUAGCCUAAUCCCAGAUUAUCCUAAACUAUUAUGAGUUCUAAUUACACUCAUUUCACAAAAGCUGACUAGUGGGUCCAUCCCUCAAAUAAAUUAGUAAAUAACAUUUCAGAAAUAAUAGAACAAUGGCUGACCCAUAUCAAGUUUUAUUUUUCAUUUUAUUAGUUGGGCCCAUAUGUAAGUGAGAGAGGGAGGGGGGGGGGUGAGAGAAAGUGUUUUUAUUUUUAUUUUUUCCUAAGUGUGUCCCACAUGUAAGUGACACAUGGAGGCAGGGGCAAAAUGUCCAAGAAACGUCUCGUAGACGGUCAAAGGCCUUUGACCUAACGGAAACGGCACGGAAGGGCAUUUUUAUAAGGCCACCUAACGGCGGAGGGGCAUUUUUAGCAGGCUUUUCAAUUAGGGGCAAAUGUGAGUAGUGGGUUCGAGUUAAGGACACAGAUGUAAAAGACCGUUUCGUAAUACAUCAUCUCGUAACUAACUCCUUAGUUAAUUUGCAUGCCAAACAGGCUGGCCCGACAUGGCCUAUCUUAAUCGUGCCUGCCACGACCCGGCCCGCCAUGGCAUGAUUAUUAGCCGGGGCGUGCCAUGCCAGCCCGUGUGCUGCCUCCUCCAGUGCAUGCACGACCCAUGAGCUAUGCGGGCCGCCCAACGGCACACCAGGUACGCUGGCUUGCUAGGUUGUUGGCCUGAUAGGCUGUUAUUUGGGCCGAUUUUGGUCUAUUGGGCUAUUUCUUAUGCCAUGUAUAUAUAUAAAAAAUCUAAAUAAAAAAUAAAAAAGUUAAACGGGCCAUGUCGUGCCGGCCCGGAUGCUCAACCUUCAGGCCAAGGCAUGGAGGCGUCCCUGUUUCUCGCUUUAAGCGAGCUAGGGGUAGCUCUCCAUCGGGGCAGUCCCAGAUGAGCCGGCCCAGCCGCGCAGGAGGCUAGCCGCCUAGAUUUUUUUUCUGUUCCAUGCUCCUUUUUUUUGCUUUUUUUUCAUAUUUUUCUUAUAUUUUAAGAAAAUUCUACACACACACACACGCACAUUAUAAAUAAACACUCUUUGAAACACAUUUGGGAAAAUGUUGAACAAGUAUCUGCAAAAUGUGGAGUAAGUGUUAAAGAAAUAUUGAACAAGAAUUAAAAAAAUGUUGAACAGGUAUUUGAAAAUGUUGAAUAAUUAUUAAAAAGUGUUUAACGAGUGUAUGAAAAAUGUUGAACUAGUAUUUCAAAAUACUGAAUAAGCAUAAAAAAUGUUGAACAAGUAUUUGAAAAAUGUUGAAAUAAAUAUUAAAAAUUGUCGAACAAGUAUUUAAAAAAUCUUGAAUAAGUAUUAAAAUGUUGAACAAGUAUUUGUUUUGUUUUUGAAAAAGCGUUGAACAUGUGGACAAACAAAUGUUGAUCACUUAUUAAAAAAUGAUUUUGACAUAUACGAAAAUGUAGAGUGCAAAAAAAUCAAACAUAAGGAGAAAACAAAAAAUGAAGAAGAAGAAAGAAAACCAAACAAAAAAUGGAGAAGAAAAAAAGAAAGUUCAACAAAAAGUUGGAGAAGGUAAAAAAAGGAACCAAACAAAAAAUGAAGAAAACUCUAUCAAUACAAAAAGAAAAAACAGAAGAAAAAAAUCCCGUAACAACUAUUGAAAAACCCGGCUUCGUUUGCCUCAAGUAUAAAACACGCCAUCAACUUGCCGUGCGCAAAGGCAUUCGCGUAGUGGCUAGCGCAAGUGAGCUCUCUCCCUAGCAACCAGGAGAUCGAUCCCCGCAUCUUCCUAUUUCCCUUAUUCGUUCGAAAGCUGCGCAAAAAUAGGUCGGCCCAACUAGUCUAAAAGCUUGAGCGAGACAUCGUCGUGCAAUCGCUUAUUGCCUCGCGGGCUGGCAUGCCAGGCCCGCCCGUUUGGCCAGCUUUGUGUCGGAUAGACUAGACAUAUAGGGUGGUUUUGAGGUUUUGGUUGGAUGGCCGUUUUUUGUUCGGACCGUGUCCGGUCUGUCCUCCCNNNNNNNNNNNNNNNNNNNNNNNNNNNNNNNNNNNNNNNNNNNNNNNNNNNNNNNNNNNNNNNNNNNNNNNNNNNNNNNNNNNNNNNNNNNNNNNNNNNNNNNNNNNNNNNNNNNNNNNNNNNNNNNNNNNNNNNNNNNNNNNNNNNNNNNNNNNNNNNNNNNNNNNNNNNNNNNNNNNNNNNNNNNNNNNNNNNNNNNNNNNNNNNNNNNNNNNNNNNNNNNNNNNNNNNNNNNNNNNNNNNNNNNNNNNNNNNNNNNNNNNNNNNNNNNNNNNNNNNNNNNNNNNNNNNNNNNNNNNNNNNNNNNNNNNNNNNNNNNNNNNNNNNNNNNNNNNNNNNNNNNNNNNNNNNNNNNNNNNNAGUUGUGAUGAAUCUGUUGUCCAAUGAGUGCAGUGUAAGUGGCCAAACGGGCCGGGAUAGCUGGGCCGGCCCGGUAGCACGGCCGGCACGGCACGUGCUAAACGGGCCUGGCCCGGCACGCGGCACGCCAAGGGCCAUGCCUGGGCCUGAAGGCCGAGCACGUGGGCCGGCACGGCACGGCCCGAUUAUCUUUUUUUUUAUUUUUUAUGUAUCCUAAUGUGGCCCAACAGGUAAAAACAGGCUAAAAAACGCCCAGUGCGCAAAAUAGGAGACAGAUUAGCGGGCCUAGCAGCCGGUGGGCCGGCCCGAUUAGCAUAUGGGCCGUGCUUGGGCUGCAGGCUGCAGCACGCGGGCCGGCACGGCACGGCCCGUAUAAUAAUCGUGCCGUGCCAGGCCGGGCCGGCCCGUUUGGCCAGCUAUAGAGUGCAGAUAAAAUGUUGGUCCUUGGGCUUUGAAGGUGCAUUUUUCGGCAGCUUGUUUUGUCCUCAAGCAAUUUUUCUACACCGUAUAUCUUCCACUUGUGAGCAUACAUCGCUACGAACCCUAUCCCCGGCGCGCAAAAAUCCAUCCAAAAAUCGCAGCCCACCAACCAAGUGGAAUUCCAAUGCGAACAAUGCCAUUUCUCUUCUCCCCCCGCAGUUCAAAGCCCCUUAUCCCCAGACCCCCGUGCGUGCGUGUCAUCAGUCAUCACCGAAAAGAUAACGCCAUGCCCCCAUGCGUUCUUUUCCGCCGCUCCCGUUGAAACCCCCCGCCGCGAAGGGGGGCCGAAAUGGAAAAAGCCAAACGAACGGAGGGCGGGCGGGCGCGCCUCGCUAGGUCAAAACGAGUGGCAGCGCUGGAAAAGCCCACACGAUCCGCCUGUGCGGUUCACACGCACUGACUGACCGCGGCGCGGCCUUGACCCCGCACGCGCCCUGAUUCUGGCGGGUGAUCUGUGACCGCGAGCCGUGGUGACGGCCCACGCCCCUGCGACGCUGCCCGCCCGGCCUCACGUGACGUGAGGACCCGGCGGAUCCCGGGGCCGCUCGCGAAUGAACCGCAUACAAAGCCGGGCACAGGUCCGAUCUGGGGCGCGCCCGGCCGUCGGAUCCCCCGACGGACGGCGCAGAACGAGGAGGGACCAAAGAACGUGAGGGGCCGAGCGGGGAAGCGUUCAACCACCCCCACCACUCGUAGGUCCGGUCAAGCCGACGGGUGGAUCCAAGGGCAUGGGUCGCAAUUAACGGGCCCUGUCCACGACCCAACUACCGCUACUCCCCAGCGCCGUCAGGCCGGCGCAGCCACGAGGCGCGGCAGGAGCCUUCCGUCCGCCCGCUGACGCGCGGGGCCCGCGGGAGGGAGGGCGGGCGGGGUCAAACCGCACCUACCCCGCUCGCGAGCUCGUUCACUGCUGGCGGACGCCAAGGCUCAACGGAAGCGCCAAGUUUUUUUCAUCCAUCUCACGCCUUGCUUCGCGUACGCCACCAACACCAACAGAAGGAGGAGGAUGGGUGACCGGGGGAGGCUCUCCCGGCCCGGGAUGGGCCCCACGGGCCUUGCGGGCCUCCUAUAAAGCCGGCGCCACGCACAGCCGCAAACCCAUCCACCGCCAGCAACGCUCGCUCCUUCUCCCAUCCCGCCUCGCCUCAGCGCGUCAAUCCCAGCAGAUCGAUCCAUCCAUCCAUCCUCCUCCUCCUAGCGAGCGAGCGAUCAAGAGCAAACCCUAGCGCCGCCGUCGCCCCCGCGGUCUCUCCACAUCCGACUGAACGCCGGCGUGGGGUGCCCAGCCUCCACAACCGGCGACGCGACCCUCCCCGCCGCGCGCCCCCCGCCCGCCUGCAACUUUUGCGGGGGUAGCCGGGGCUCCGGCCUCGGCGGCUUUCUAAGCCCCCUUCCUUACAACAGGAUCCAAAAUCCCGUCCUAGAUUUCUUCUACCUCCCCUUCCAGAACUUCCUCUUUUGGCAUCAGUAAUCCUCGGAAUCUCAUCACCCUAGAUUGAUUUCGAUUCUUAUAAUUACUGACUUUUUCACCGUUAUUUUCUUCUUCGCUGUUCGUCGAUCGAUCUACAGCCCCUUUUCGCCUCAUACAAUUCUUUUCUUCGAUUUUUUCAUCGCCGCCGCCGCCAGAAACGAAUAGCAGAGAAAUUCCUGACUGCAUACGGCACAAAGAAACAGAAAAAUUUCUGACUUUUCCCCCCAGUGGAUUAGCUUUCUCCGGUUGUUAAUUCCGUGACGAGAUGCCUGCGCUCGCUGUCGACGCUGCCGCCCCCGUGGCCCACGCCUUCCCCGCGUGCGGCGACGCCUCGCCGCGCUUCGCGGCCGCGCCACUGCUGGGCCCCGCCGUCGCCGUAGCCGCGGCCGCUGCUGCCGACAAGCCCGAGAUGGCCGCCUGGUCGGCCGACCUCUCGUCGGCGCUCUACAACGUCGACGGCUGGGGCGCGCCCUACUUCUUCGUCAACGACGACGGCGACGUCGCGGUGCGCCCGCACGGCGCCGCCACGCUCCCCGGCCAGGAGAUCGACCUCGCCAAGGUCGUCGCCCGGGCGGCCGGCGCGCGCGCCGGCGGCGGGCUCGGCCUCGCGCUGCCGCUGCUCGUGCGCUUCCCCGACGUGCUGCGCCACCGCGUCGAGACCCUCAACGCCGCCUUCGCCUACGCCGUGCGCUCCACGGGCUACGCCGGGCGGUACCAGGGCGUCUACCCCGUCAAGUGCAACCAGGACCGGUACGUGGUCGAGGACAUCGUCGAGUUCGGCGCGCCCUUCGGGUUCGGCCUCGAGGCCGGCUCCAAGCCCGAGCUGCUGCUCACCAUGAGCUGCCUCGUCGCCCGCGGCAGCCCCGACGCCCUGCUCAUCUGCAACGGCUACAAGGACCUCGAGUACGUCUCGCUCGCGCUCAUCGCCCGCACCAUGGGCCUCAACACCGUCAUCGUGCUCGAGCAGGAGGAGGAGCUCGACAUUGUCGUCGAGGCCAGCCGCCGCCUCAACAUCCGCCCGGUGGUCGGCAUGCGCGCCAAGCUGCGCACCAAGCACGCCGGCCACUUCGGCGCCACCUCCGGCGAGAAGGGCAAGUUCGGCCUCAACGCCGCGCAGAUUCUCUCCGUGGUGGCCAAGCUCAAGGCCCUCGCCAUGCUCGACUGCCUCCAGCUCCUGCACUUCCACAUUGGCUCCCAGAUCCCCACCACCGCCCUGCUCGCCGACGGCGUUGGCGAGGCCGCGCAGAUCUACUGCGAGCUCGCCCGCCUCGGCGCGGCCAUGCGCGUCAUUGACGUCGGCGGCGGCCUCGGCAUCGACUACGACGGGACGCACUCGGCGCAGACCGACAUGUCGGUGGCCUACAGCCUGGAGGAGUACGCGGCGGCCGUGGUCGCCGCCGUCGGCCGCGUCUGCGACCGCAAGGGCGUGCAGCACCCUGUCAUCUGCAGCGAGAGCGGCCGCGCGCUGGUGUCGCACCACUCGGUCCUCAUCUUCGAGGCCUUCUCCGCGACGGCGCCGGCUUCCAACAUGAUGGACCCGGCCACCGCCUACCUGCUCGACGAGCUCACCGACGACUGCCGCAGCGACUACCGCAACCUCAUGGCCUCCGCCGUGCGCGGCGACUUCGACACCUGCGGCCUGUACGCCGACCAGCUGAAGCGGCGCUGCGCCGAGCAGUUCAAGGAGGGGGUCCUCGGGCUGGAGCACCUCGCCGCCGUGGACGGGCUCUGCGAGAUCGUCGCCCGCGGCAUGGGCGCGGCGGAGGGGCCGCGCAGGUACCACAUCAACCUGUCGGUGUUCACCUCGCUGCCGGACAUGUGGGCCAUCGAGCAGCUCUUCCCCAUCAUCCCCAUCCAGCGCCUCCAGGAGCGGCCCGCCGUGGACGGCGUGCUCUCGGACCUGACCUGCGACAGCGACGGCAAGGUGGACCAGUUCAUCGGCGGCAGGAGCAGCCUCCCCCUGCACGAGCUCCCGACCCACGGCACCCGCGGCUACUACCUGGGCAUGUUCCUGGGCGGCGCCUACCAGGAGGCGCUGGGCGGCCUGCACAACCUGUUCGGCGGGCCGAGCGUGGUGCGCGUCUCCCAGAGCGACGGGCCACACUGCUUCGCCGUGACGCGCGCCGCGCCAGGCCCGUCGUGCGCCGACGUGCUCCGCGCCAUGCAGCACGAGCCGGAGGUGAUGUUCGAGGUGCUCAAGCAGAGGACCACCGACGACGGCGCCACCGCCGCGGCGCUCGCCAGGGCGUUCGGGUCAAUGCCGUACCUGUCGUUCGACGCCGAGGAGGCCUCGGCCAUGAGCGGCGCGGAGUCGAGCGGCAUGAGCAGCGACUCGGAGGGGUCGGCUGCCGGCGCCGCCGAGGAUGAUGACGAGGAGUGGGAGUUCAUGCGCGGGCUCACCGUGUGAGGGCGAGCUCUUUCUAUAUCUAUCACCGGUCGAACCGGCCGGUGAUGUUGUAUCGUGUCACUCAUGGUCGUAGCGAGGUCGUCGGGCGUCUCGUCGCCGUUUAGUUUCACCGCCGGAGUUUGUUUUGGCGCCAUCUUUUUUAUUUCCCAUGCGUCAGUCCACUGUUUCUUUCAACUUUUUUCUCUUGGAAUAAAUAACAAAAGGAAACUAUCAGUACUAUGUUUCUUUCGAUUGCAAUUUGUUUACUCCGGCUCUUGGUUUCUUCGUGACAAUGCUCGGUGGAUUCGUGGCUGUGAGUGGAGAUGGGGCUAUGUGGUCUCAAUCUCCUCGAUCUCCA
rnacentral:lncRNA from 1 species